rnacentral:lncRNA from 1 species
AAAAUAAGAAUUUUAUUAAUUUUUAUAUCAAUUAUUAUUAAUAGUUUACAAGUUGAACUAUAUAUAUUAAUAACACCAAGUGAUUGGUGCUGUUAUGUUUUCGACUGUUGGAUGAAAAGAUGUGCGGUUAAGAUGCUAAUAAUUUCAUAGAGUUGAGUAGAUAAUUGAUUGAAUAGUACAAUCUAAUGGAUAAAAAUAAUUAAAAAGAUAAAUUUAAUGGUGAAAAACUCGAAAGCACCAAGCGUUUGGUGUCAUCGAUGGUAUAGUAGUUAGAAACUUUAGGUCACCAUUUGGUUCGGGGAUAAAAGGAGGAUUAAGGGGUUAACACCCGUUAUGAUCCCCCAGAAUUGGGGUGGGGUUAAGUUAAUCCCACCUCAAUUUAAUUUUUAAAUAUAAAUUUAAAAUUUUAAUUUUAAUUUUAAUUUUUAAAUUUAAAAAAUUAUAAUUUAUAAUCUUAAAAUUAAUAUUAUUAUUAUUUUUAAUUUUUAAAUUUUAAAUUUUAUUUUUAAUUAUUUAAAUUUUAAAUUUGACAUUUUAUAUUUGAAAUUUUAAAAAUGUAUAAUUUGCAAUCUUAAAAUUAAUAUUUAUUUUUUAAAAUUUUAAAUUUUAAAUUGUUAUUUUUUAAUUAUUUAAAUUUUUAAAUUUGAAAUUUAAAAAUAUAGAUUUUAAUUUUGAAUUUUUAAUUUUAAAAGUUAUCUAUUUAAAUUUAAAAUUUUAAAUAUAAAAUAAAAAAAUUAAAUUCAAAUAUAAUAAUUGGAACAAUAUUAUUAUUUUUUAUUUAUAAUUACCCACUAUUUUUUUAUUUCAUUUACUCCAAUCAAACUCUAUUUUGCUUAUAUCUGCACUAAAUCCAAUUCUCAACUAAACAUAAAAUUACUUUAACCCUUCCUUAACCCUAUUCCUAAAAUAACUAGUUCUUACUUAACCCCGAACCAAACGAAAGCCUGAGGUAAAAAGGAAAGUAAUAGCAAAAAUAUGAUAGGGAGUGAUCACCUUGCUUUCCUAGUAGCAAAUAAGGCAACAACGAAUCAUUAUAAUAAUAAUAGUUAUAUUAGGAGUCCGGCUACUAUACUAUCGGUAGCACAGGGGGUUCCGUACUACCAAGUUGUUUUUGAUGAUGCGGCUUCCAAAUCGACGAUCAGCUCCGUUAGACUUAAUCUACACUAUUAAAAGUAUUUAGAAACUAAAUUUCAUAAUUUUUCGAUAUCAUUUACCUAUCAAACAAGUAGUCUAAAAUUGAACGGCUGAAAAUAAAAAUCUCAUAAAAAAUGAUGAUAAAAGAUUUAAAUUCAAGAUCAGAUAUACUGAUCUUACUCUAAAUAGUGAAAAGAAUUUUCUAUAAAAUUUUCAUCGCAUUUGGAUUGUUUUACACCGUUAAACUCACAAACACACUACAUCGGCCAUUAAAAUUGUCAAUUUUGAGAUCUUUCGAUCACUAGUCAAAUAAUGUCGAAAAAAAUCUGAAAUUUAGUUUCCAAAUACUUUCAAUAGUACAGAUCAAGUCUAACGGGGCCGAUCGUCGAUUUGAAAACUGCAUCAUCGAAAACAACUUAGUAGCACGAAGAGCUCCAUGCUACCAAUAGCAUAGUAGCCUAGUUCCUUAUAAUAGUAAUAAUAAUAAUAGUAGUUGUAAUAAUAAAUAAAUGGUUAUAAUACUACUAUAACUAUAUAAACAUGCAGUGCAUCAUACUCUUUCCCAGGGCCAGGGCAUGUUGUACUACGCGUGAUCUCUCAUUCAUUCUCCUCUACACAAAAAAUAAUAAAUACCCCCCCCCACACAAUACUCUCUCUCUCUCUCCACCCCCAAAAACCCAUUACAAUUCACAACACAACCCCUCCCUCUUUCUCUCUCUAAAAACUCUCUAAUCUCUCUCUCUCUCUAAAACCUGCAUGCGUUAUUAAAUAUUGCUUGGAUUUGAAACGUCUCCACAAAUGGUAAGUAUGUAUAUAUAUUCUUUCUCCUACGUGCUACUACUUUUUUCUUUUUUUUCUUUAAUUUUAUGUGGUGUUUUGUGUGUGUUGUGGUUUUUUUUAUAUGUUGGGGCUACAGAAGCGGUAUUCGGUUCAACGGAAAACCGCUUUUUCCCUGGUUUUUUUUGUGACCGGGAAACCGCCGCGGUUUCGGCGAAACCCGGUGGGAAUGAUUCGGCGCGUUCACGCGUUUUUACUUUAGAGGAGUUUGAUAUUCCUACCCCAUAUUUAUAUAUAUAUAUAUAUAUAUUAUUUUUAUUAGUAUUUGGGGUGGGGGGUUUGAAUUAAAAAAGGUCACUAAUUUUUCCUUUUUUUUUUUUACCUGCAUUUUAUUUCAAUGCAAAAAAAAAAGUCAAUAAUUAUACAAAAAAAUAAAAGGUUAUUAGUAGUAAGUUUGUUUUGAUGAUGCUAGCAAGUAAAUUUAAAUUUUAUUUGUAAAGUUUGAUUUAAUUUCUUUUUUUUUCGAAAAAAAAAGAAUGUACAAAGACAGCUUGAACUUUUAUGUAUAAGCUUUUAAUUUUAAUAAUUAUAUCUCUUAAAUUACAUCAAAUGGUCUAAUAUAUUUCUUUUCUUAAUGGAAGUUAGUAAUUAUACAGCCAUCGAUUUUAAUAAAAAUAAAAUUAUCUAAAAGUAAAAAUAAUUUUUUUUAAUGUUUUGAAGUUUUGUAAUAAGAUUAUAUAUUAAACUAUAUAACCAAAAUAGCUAUGUAAUAAAUAAUUUUAAUUGAAUUGAAAGAAUUGUUAAAUUAUUUUAUUAAGUUUAGAGGACUUAAUUAUUAUUAUUAUUAUAGAUAUUAAAAGCAAAUUUAGUGUUCUUGUAUUUUUUUUUCUAUUUAUGAGAUAAAAAUAUAGGGGGUGAGAAUAUCAUCGUCGCGGGAAAUUCGAUGCGAGCGCACUUUUGUUCGCCGGCAACACACGUUGCAACUCACCAACACAUAUAUAAAUAUUUUUACAUAAAAAUAAACAUUUUAAUUAAUUUCUAAAUAUUAAUAAAAAUUUUUGUAUUUUUAUAAAAUAAUAUUUAUUUUUGUUAACAUAAUUAGAAAUGUUCUUAUUUUGAAUAUAUUAACUUUUACUAGAGAAUUAAUCAAGACCUAAAAAUAUAAUAUAUGUGAAAAUAUUAAAUGUUUAAAGUUAAAAGUAUAAGAACCAAAUUAUUAUGUGAAAAUAAAUUAAUCACUAUGCAUGAAUUAUCAUUAUUAUUAUUAAUAUUAUUAUUAUUAUUGUUUUCUUGUUCUUUUCAAGCAAUUAUUAUUAUUAUUAUUAUUAUUAUUAUUAUUAUUAUUUUGGCGACUUUUUUUUGUCGUAUUUUGUGGACAAAAAUUCUAGCUACGAUGGAGAACGACCUCCGUAAUGAAACGACUCUACCAAUCUAUCAUCCAUCACGUAAAUAGUAAGCGCGAAUCCCAAAGCAGGAUGGACGGUGGAACAGAGUGUUGUGGUAGAUAGCUGCCUUACGUGGCGUUUUGUGAUUGGCUUGGGUAUGUACGCAUGCGCAUACGUGGCGACGAACCAUUGGUCGAAAUGAGAAAAUUCGUACGUUGUUUUUUUGUGGAUUAUGGAUCGGUUGCGUAUUCUGCGGAGAUCACAAUGCAUAAAUCAUUAUUAUUAAUUAUUUUUAAAAAAUAUAUUUAUAUUAUAUUAUAUUAUAUUAUAUUUUAUUUUCAGGUCGUAAAUUACUAGAGUAUUCCGUACUUUUUGACAUCAGUGCUUUAGUAGGUAUGCAAGCGGAUCCGGGUCGGUAGAGCUCCCGUUCUGAUUCGUUUCGAAUGGAACAAUAAAUAAAAGUCAAAAAUAAAUAAAUAUUAAUUUUUGUAUCUCAAAUCCAUUCUAAUUUGCUAAGAAAGUGAAGCGGAACGCAAAAAAAUUCAUUUCCUCUUUUGAUCCUUUCUUAUGUGUCGAAAGUUUACUAUCUGUCUUGAAUGGAGCAAUAAAUAAAAGUAAAAAAAUAUAUAUAAUAAAAAUCAAAUCAAAAAUCAAAUCGUCCUGAAUCCGUUCCAAUCCGCUAAAAGGAAGGGCAAAAGGAGGAGACCUUUUCCGUUGUUUAUUUAUAUAGUCGUUGAAUUAAAAUUUUCCCAUUCUGCGUUAUUUGUUUGGUAACAAAUAAAUGACAAAGAAAUUGAAGGCGUAAAAGAUGAAUUAAUAUUUAACUUUUUUUUUCCCCGUAAUCGACUUCGGUUUGAGAUGGAUCGAAAUCAAUUACGCUAUUCUGGAGAGUUUAAGUUUCGACCGAGGAAAGUUAUGAUAAUGUAGACCAAACAGCGAAAGUGAGUAUUUACGACCGGAAACAAUUUCAAUCCUUUUCACUUUUUUGGCAAAACAAACAUACCUUAAUCAUGUGUGUUGUUCCCUUUUUUGAUACAGUUUUUGCCGUCUUGAUUCUACUUAUAUCUACUCGUGGAUAAAUAUAUAGUGCUUGAUAUGAUGUAUCUGGUCCGUAAGCUUAUUAUGGAGCAAAAUGGUUUAAGUUGUUUGAGAAAGCACUAACAGUUGUUUCGAGUCACAAAUUGAAUCUUCCGAGUUUAGAAGUUUAAUUCAAUCAACGUCCUAUCGGAAUAAUUAGCCAUUAGAUGAGUUCGGCUUAUAUGCUUUCGAAGGUACGAAGAACUUUUAUACUUUUAAGUUAUUUUAAUGGCGGGGCUUUCGAUUUGACCAUUAACUCUAUUAGAUUUGAUUUAAAGUAUUUGAAGUAUAUAAAAAAAAAUUAUAAUUUUUAAUAUUAUUUAUUUAAUGAUCAAAGGGCUAAAAUAAAAAUCUCUCGAAAAGUUAUGACACAAAUUUUGCAUCAAAUAUUGAUCUUGUUUUUUAUUGAAUAAAAUUACAACAUUAGAAAUUUUACAUGAUUUGAAUAUUUUUACACCACUAAAUUUAUGAACUUUAAACUCUUUCGAUCAGUAGAUAAAUGAUAUUAAAAAAUUAUUAUAAAUUUUAUUUUUUAGAUAUUUCAGAUACUCUAGAUUGAAUCUAAUGGAGCAAAUCGUCGAUUCAGUAAUCUCAUCAUCGAAAACACCGUGGUUUGGAAAUAUACUAGUUUGUUUCUGUUAAUUAGGGGAGCAGUUGCUCUGAACCAAACUUAGUAUAAUAUUGUAUCCCUAAACAUAGUGCAGAGGAGCAGUUGCAGAUUCAGGGAAUGAUGAUAUAUUAGUUUGGUCAGCGCAGAAGUUGAAUUGAAUUUUUGAUGAGGAGGAGAUCUGCACCUGUGCAGGUUGAGGAGGAGGAGGAGGCGGCGGCAGCUGUGGCGGCGGCGACAGACGAGGGGCUGACAGCAGUGCUGACGCCGCCGCUGGCGCUGGACGGCGACCGGCCGCCGAACGUGGUUCAGCGCGUGUUCAGCCUCUUCCGGAAUGUACGGCCAGGAUCUGAUCUCACCCAUUUCCAGGUAAAUAUACAUCUCUCUCUCUCUCUCUGCCUCUCUCUCUCUCUCUCUCUCUCUCUGUAGGUGGAAUUUGAAUUGGGGAUACUUUGGGGUACACUAAGGAGUACUCCUAGCAUUCUAUGUAAAAAUGAAAUAGGAGUAAAAGUUUAAAAAUUCUAGAGAACACGAGAACACAUAAUUAUUUUUAAGUUAAAAACGUAUAGAAAUUAUUCGAAAUAUGGGCUAUUUUGAAUCAGCGAUUCAAUUUUUUAAAAUUUUAAUUUUACUAUCUAACUUUUUAGUUUGUUUGAUCUGAUUCAAUCGACAACAAUAUUAUAAUUUUAAAAUUUAAGAUAGUUGCUUACUUUAAUGAAUUUAUAGUUGCGAGAGAAUUACAUGAAGUGUGCUAACUAAAUCUGUAAAAAUAAGCAAUUGCAUUAUUAAUAAGUUUACUUAAUGAACGGGGCCUACUGAACUAUUUGAUUAAUUUUAAGAAGUCUCUUUGUUAAAAUUGAAAAUUCAGACGCCUGGUUGCAAAAGAGCUAAAAGUCACGGAGUCUCCACAUAUCUUUUUUUUUGAAAUUAAUAGCACUUUUAAUAGGGGCAAAUCAGAUAUAUUAAAUUUGAUCGGAAUAUUUUAUCAGAAUCCAUCAGCAUGAAUGAUCAGAUUCAAUAAAUCUUUGUCGCUCAUUAACUGCGACAUUAAGCGGUAUGUAAUAACACGCUCUUUUAAUAGGAGCAUAUCAAAUCUAAUCAAAAUCUAUCAGUAACAAUUAUCAGAUACAAUAAAUCUCUUGUUGCUUAUUUAAUUGCCACAUGUCAGUAACACACCCUUACCCUUAGUACUCAAGAAACUUUUUUUUCCUAGUUUUUGCUAAGACAAGUGAUAGCAACUUGCAAGUGACUUAAAUGAAUGGAAUAGUCAUGUGAACAGAAUAAAGUAAGUUAGAAAGCCCAAAAAAAAAAAAAAAAAAAAAAAAAGAAAAGGUGUUUGAAUUUCUAUUAAUUUAGGAAAAAAAAAAUAAAGGUAGUGGGUGAAAAAAGCCCACAUGAUGCCCCUGUCCACUAGCAAAAUUGUCACAUCAAUAUUUGACCAUUAAUAAUAACCAUAAUUUGUAUUGAUCAAAAUAAAGACCAAAAGCUAGCUUUCAUGCUUUACCCUUUUUUUUUUUGGUUAAUUUCAGAUACCAUCAAUGUGGUUCGUUUUUUUCACUUUAGUAAUAUGUGAUUUAAAUGUAUCAAGUUAGUGUUCUGUAGUUUAAUUUUUAUCUUUUCAUCAGUUUCUUUUUAAUAUUUUGUUAAAUUAUAUACAAAAAACUUCAGAUAUUCUAUCUAGAUUUAUCAAAUAUUCACUUUAGUACCUCUAUAGUUUUAACUUUGUCACUAAUUUAAUAAAAAAAAUUAGUAAAAUCGAUAAUAAAAAAUAAAAAUAAAACCACAGGACACUAAAUUAAUACACUUUAAACCACAGAUACUAAAGUAACAAAAAUGUGAAACCACAUGGGUAUAUAAUUGAAGUUUUCUUUUUCUUUUAUUUCUAAAAGCCUCUCCUUGUGUUAGAGAACAUGAGCUCGGUACCGUUUGGUUCAGGUAUAAAGAAUUAGUUAUUACAGGGAUAGGUAUAAGUAUGGGGAUAAGAAAAAUAGUGUUUGGAUAAGAAUUGGGUUGUUUCCGGAAAUAAGGACAAUUUAGGUAGUUUUAUAUAGAAAAUGGAGGUGUUGGUAGGGAUAACCGAGAACUACUAUUCUCGGAUAAAAAAUUAGCGUUUGGAUAUAGGGGGGGGGAUAAGGGUCUAUUCCUAUCCCUAUCCCCUAACCAAACGCUAAGAAUUGAAGAGCAUAUGUGCCUUUCAUAGCUAUUAUUACUAGGGAUUGAGACCAUCUUUUUCCUAAUGAAUCUUGUGUAUUUUGUGGAAACAGGUGAAUUAGAGUUACACCAUUUACUCUUGUGGAAGUGAAGUUACCUUUACUAGCUUCGCAUGAAAAAAAAUAUAUCAAUAGCACCAAGGCCUCUGUGUUGUAGAAAUUUUCUUUUUGCUGAUGGAGCAUCCAAAUCGACGGUCUACACUACUUAUCAUGAUCCAGAAUAUUUGAACUUUCUAAAAAUCAAGUUUUAUAUUUUCUGAGAAUUAUUUUGAGAGUCCAAUUGAGAUACUAUUGAUAGCACCAAAGGCUUGGUGCUAUCGAAUUUUCCACCGUUAGAUUUAAUCCUUUGAUUAUUUUUAUCCGUUAGAUUAUACUAUUCAACCAACCACUCACUCAACCCUAGAGGAUCAACAUUAUCUUAACCGUAUAUUUCUCAAUCCAAGAACUAAAAAACUAAUAGCACAAAUAACUUGGUGCUAUUCAUAGUAUUCCAGCCUAGUUCUUAUUUUGAACUAGAAGACAUCUGACAAUUGUUGAAAUAAAGCAGUCUUGUUGUUUUUCCUCCAUCCCUUCAUUCCUUUGCUUUGCUCCAGUUCCCUUGCGAAACUUUCGUUAUUGGGUUAGUCAAAAUUUGCUUUUGAACCGAAUCGAAUUUACUUUGCAUGUCUCUGUCUUUGGUAAAAAUGUACAAAACUUAUGUCAAUUAUAGAUCCUUUCUGAUUCGGAUAUCCAAAAUUUUAAAAUUUUAAAAUUUUAAUUCUAGUACUCGACCUUCCAAUUUGUUUGGUUUCAAUAAUUUAAUAGCUUUCCGAUACAAAAUUUAAACUAAUUGCUUACAUUAGUAAAUUUAUAGCUACGUGACUUGUAUAAAGUAUACUAGAAAAUUCUCAUACCGAAUAAGUAAUCAUACAAUGUCUAAACUGUAACGUCUCAGACGAUUGAUCACCCAUCCCAGAGGCCACAACUUGGUUAGCUAUGGCACCCUAGCCCUAAAAAUCCAUUGAGUCUAGAUCCAACAGCCCAAAAUCGCAGAGCCCGAUUAUUAGAUCUUAGUUACCCAACCUUAUGUAUUCCAGAUCAUGUCCUUGGCUUUCCGAUGUAAAACUAAUCUUGUAACGACCCGACCCGCUAACACUAAUAACAUAUUUAUUAGUCCCAAUUUAUGUAUCACGGACAUUUCUAUAAACCUCGUGUGUCCGUGUCGGACACAUGUCCGAUGUGGACAUUUUUUGGACAAGCGGUUAAUACCGAUCCAUAGCACUUACAACUAAAAAAAAUAUAUACCUAUUUUUAGUUUAUUUUGUCUAUACAUGUAUGAUAUAAGAUGAUAAAUGUUUUAACUUUUAGAUGAAUGCAUAUAUUUCUUUUUGACAAUAUAAAUAAAUUAUGUAUGGUGGAGAAUUUUUUUUCUUAAAAUAUAUGAACUAUCAAUAAAAAUUUUACUAACUUUCACUUGUGUGAGAAAUAAAAUAAUAUUUUACCAAAAUUAAUAUUUUAUAUAUAAUAAAAAUAUAUUAUUAUAUUAAUAAUAUUAUAUUUUAUUAGCAGUGUCUAUACCGUGUCCGUGUUCUUAUUUUUAAAAGUUGUCGAGUCACGGUGUCCGAGUCGUAUCGUGUCCCGUAUCAGUGUCCGUGACACCUAGGUCCCAAAUCACUCCGCCAAAAAUACUCAAGCUUAGUCAUUAGUAUUAGGUUUUCUUGUCCUUAUAUUACCAAACAUAAUUUCAUCACCCAAUAUGAGAAAAUUGGGGCAUUACAAAAUUCAUCGCCUAGAUUAUGACCGAUGAUGUAGCACUUUAUCCCGUAGUCCUGUAUAGUAUUUCAUUUUUACACUUUCUUGCUGUAAUACCAAAUGGAACGAUCGAACCCGCUAACAUAACUUGUCGGACCGAAAUUAUUGGCCCAAUAUGUUUAAGCCCAGAUAUUAGUACUAGAAUUUCUAAUCCUUAUAUUCUCACACAUAAUCUCAUGAUCCGAUAUGGGAUGAUUGGGGCGUUACAAUUCUCUAACCUGGAGUGUCACACAAAUAGGGCCUAAGCAACAAUGAUAAAACUAAUUAACUUCAUCCCUAGAUGCCUUCAACUACAUAAAACUUGAAAACAAGAGGGAAAAAGAGAUGAGAAACAAAGAAAACAUUAAUAAUGCAGGCACUUAGCAUUACUAAACCUAUAGCAUAUUAUGAAAAUCAUACCAAGUUCAUCUUUACUCUCCUAGAAAAAGAAAGAAGAGAAAACUAAUGAAAAGUAUGAAAUGAAUUCCUUUUGCAAAUAAUGCAGCUACCUCCUCUCUUCAACAUGCCGAAGUCGCAGCUUCAGCUGUAUGGUGAAGGGGUUUACUGCAUUGGGGAGGACUAUCUUAGCAAGUGUGCUAAAGCGAAGAGCAGCCUCGAAAGAUUUACGUCGGUCGUCGCGUGGAGCAUAUCGACGACGAGGCCUGCGAUCUUCGGCUUAGCUCCGUUCAACCCGAUCCUCGGAGAAACUCAUCAUGUUUCAAAAGGAACCCUCAAUGUCCUACUUGAGCAGGUAAUCUUAAUAGAUUCAAUAUCUCAGCUUCAUGCCAUGAUUGUGAAGAAAAUUGAGAAGAAUAUUUUGCAUGGUAUUACAAAUGAACGUGAAAAAAGUAUAAAACACCAUUCUCGGAUCUUAAGCUCUCAGAGAGAAACUGUUACUUUCACAUGGUAUCAGAGAAAUAACAUAACACUAGUGUUGUUUCGAAUGCAUGUAUGUAAAAGUUGACAUGUGUAGUUAAGUAUGGUAUGAAAAAGACAUAAUCUAAUGCCCUUAUGACUUGAAAUUUGAAAAGAUCUCUGUAUUUAUAACUAAAUAAAUGAGCUUCAACUAUAUUAUUUUACACAUAUGUUUUGAAUAGGUUGCACAUCAUCCUCCAGUAUCUGCUCUCCAUGCAACUGAUCAAGAAGAGAAUAUACAGAUGGUAUGGUGCCACAACCCUGUCCCCAAGUUCCAUGGUAAAAGUUCCAAAACCCUAAUCACUACACUGUAGUUUUUUUAUUCCGAUCGACUUCGAAGGAACACUUAUAAGUUUUUGACUUGUAAUUCGCUUACAUAUCAGAAAUAAAAGUCUAGUCGAAGCCAUUUGUUUGAACACAAGAUUGAAACAAGAGCUUCCACUUUGUACUCAGAAAGUUAUCUCGCCUUACUGCCAUACCGAAAAACCCUAGACUUUUGUUAAGAGAAACAAACACUAAACAUGACAUUUCCAUGUCUUUGCAGGAACUAGUGUUGAAGCAGUUAUCCACGGAAAGAGGCAGCUAAGGCUUUUGAGCUUCGGCGAGAACUAUGAGAUGAAUUCACCGAACUUGUUAAUAAGAAUACUUCCUACACCUGCUGCUGAAUGGGCAGGAACUGUCAGAAUAAGCUGCAAAGAUUCAGGUCUAGAAGCCGAAAUGUGCUUCCACAGAAGCCAUUCUUUCUUAGGCUUCGGUGGGAAUUCGAGGGCCGUAAAGGGAAAGAUCUUCCACUCCAAGUCAUUAAAGACGAUAUAUGAAAUCGACGGCCUAUGGGACAGGUAUAUACUCAUCGUUCGACAAAGAGUUGUUACUUUUGUGAUUUUCCGAGUAAUACUCGCUAACCUAUGAUCUAAUAAAAUUGUGCAGAACUGUUUCAUUGAAGGAUGUUCACAGCGGAAAAUUUUCGGUACUUUAUGAUGCCGAGGAGGCGAUAUCAAAACUUAAGGCUCCGAUUGUAAAGGACCGAGAGGUACUUAUGAAGGAGAUCUGAUUUUAUUACCCAUUAUUAUUUCAGCACUAGUUAAACUCUGCAUGUUCAACCUAAAUUUUUGGAAUAGUUAUUGUACGCAGAAACUAUGCCAAGCAGCUAUAAUAGGUUUUUGAUGAAAAAGCUAUAUGUGCUUCUUCAAACAGUUCUGCUCAAAAGGCAAAAGAAACCCCAUAAUGAGCCUUGCAAUUCAUAUUUAGCUACAUAUUAGAAGAUUCUAAAACUUAUGAUUUGUUCCUGCUAUAAUAAAGAGAAAUAGUAGGAUGCUCAUAAAAAGUGCUUUUUUGGAACAGAGCUUAUUGCUAACUGAAUCAGCAGUGGUGUGGGGUGAAGUGAGCCAAGCCAUACUGAACAAGGAUUGGGAGAGAGCAUUCCAAGCAAAGAGGAGCAUAGAGGAGAGAGAAAGGAAGAAGCAGAGAGAGAGAAAGUCUAUGGGGGAAGUGUGGAUACCAAAGCACUUCUCCUUAUCCCACACAAAGGAAGGCCAGUGGGAGUGUUGGCCACUGAAACAAGCAGUCCCACCUGCUCCAAUUGUUGUCCCACCACAGGAUAAAAGAAUUUAGUUUAGACCAAGAAAAGUGAAUUCUCAUUUGGCUCUGAUGUAUUGAAUAUGUUGUCUUUGAUAAAGUGGAUGAUAGAGUUUAUUAUCACUGUGUAUACUGUGAAAUAAGUUAUUAUACAAGUUUAAUAUCUAGUGCUUCUUUCCAUUUAUCUUCUAAAGAGUAACACUAAGGUUUUUUUAGUUGCUUGCUGAUUUCAUGCAUGCAAGAUAAAUGACAAGUCUGGUCUGAUUUAAGCAGCCCUAUUCUGUUUCAGAAUGACUGCAUGUGGUUUCAGUUUUGUCUAAUGAAGAGAGGGAAUGUGAACUUUGGCACUGUUUAUUUGGGAAUAUUGAAUCAGAUACCAGGUCCUAAUCCAGUUGUUGUUGAUAGUCUCUGCCUUAUGGUGAUUAUCCUCUGGUGAGUUUGCUUCAGAACAACUGCAUCUUGAAGGCAGAAAAUAGCUGCCAGGCGAAAAUCGCCAAUGAUGGAGGAUGAUAUAGCCAUCAAAGAUGAGGGUAGUAACUUGUAACACGCCAAUAGUCCCACAUCGAAUUAAAAAAAAAAAAAAAAAAAAAAAAAAAAAAAAAAAAAAAUCUGAUUCGAAUAUAUGAGACUUCGCACCCGAAUAAUAAUAACUUGGUUUAAACAUUUUGAGCCCAAAACACUUGGUAUCAGAGCCGAAUACCAGUCAGAAGUAUAAGAUCUAAGUGUUAUGUGGAACAAAAGUGUCACACCAUGGAUUUGGUGGGAGCCACCUCUUGAACCCGUAGAAGCCAACCCGUAGAAGCCACCUCUAGCAUCUUACAUUACCUGAUAACUAGAAUCUUAAUCGCCUGAUAAUUCUGAUUUAUGAAUCCGUAUAAGCCACCUUUAGAAUCUUACAUCGUUUGAUAAUUCUGGUUUAUGUAUCUGUGACAAAAACAAAAGGGUCCAAAUAGAAAGAGCUUGUAACACCCCAAUCAUCCAGCCUCACAGUCUGGUAAUAGUAACAGAGCUUAAACAUUUUGGACCGAUAAUUUGGACCCAACAAGUUAUUAUUGCUGGAGAGUCGGAUCGUUACAUAAUUAGAUCCUGUGUGGAUUUCCACAGUCCAAAAUGCACUAAUCUCUGAUUCUCAGCAGUAAGAUCACUGGGAUCUCAACUCUCAUGAGAAAACCUACAAUUGGCAAAACAAAAGCACUGUAGGAUGGGAGUAAGAUGCACUUAAUUUGCCCAUUCUUUGGUAGUACUCUUAACUUAACUCAAUAAAUACUAAGCUAUAUAAAUACACGUACAAAUGUACGUAGGGAUGCUUUAAUCUUUCAUUGUAUUGAAUAUAUUGAAUAAAAAAAAAUACUAACUAUGAUACAGUGGAUCUGAACCCUGUUGAUCCAAGUGAAAUUAUGAUUAAAAGAAGGGAAAAUGAGAAUAGGUAGCUAGCUAUAUUGGUAUGCACUUAAAAAACACUACUACUUUUACCAUUAUGCAAUUCAACCCUGUUCUAUAAAUUGAACUACUGCCAAAAAAAAUAUCUGAUUUAUUAAAAAAAUUAAAUUAACUGUGCUAAAUAUAAGUAAAGUAAAAGUGGAAAGUGCUGCUAAUUAUUCUGUCUUUAUCUCAUUCAUAGAAAGCAGAUUUAAUCGUGAAUCUUUGGUACCCAAUCUGAUCGUAAUAUCGUAACUAUAGAAUGGAAGUGCAUCAAUUUGUAUACUGUAUAAUGGUAUUAGUAAAGGAAAAGGCUAAACCCUGACGCAUUGUUACCAGUCGCAAGGCUCUGUUACCUUUGCAGCUACAAAAAAUAUUAGCAAAACCAAUAACUAGGGUAAAAUGCAUGACAGUCCCUGUGAUUUCAAGGCAGGACCACUAAACCCUAAACUCUUCAACUGAGAGAACCAGUCCAUGAUCGUUAUUAUAUUAAGCAAUAGCAUUUCUGAAGCCAUUAACUAUACAAAAUCUUUAACGUUCAUUUUACCUAGUAAAGGGAUCAUUUUACCCUUUACUGUAAAAUGAAUUCUCUAACCUAGCAGAUCUCAGAUUUUUUUUUUUUUACCACAUAUGCUAAGAACGCAAUUGUGAAAUAUAGAAAACUCAGUGAUACUGUUUAAGUGAAAAUUUGAGGACUAAGUGGCAAUGCCGGGAAAGUACAAGAAUGGUAAUAUAAGAUUUUAGAUAUAAAAGUAAAAGGUCGGUGCUUGGAUCGUAGUGUCACAUAUUUUUAAAUACCAUAGUACCUAUCCUACUUGUACAAGUAUAGCUAAACAUACAAAAGAGGACUUAUACAGCUUUUAUUUGUACAAUACUACAAAAAAUAGCAACAACAUGCUAUUAGAAAAGAGAUUUCACAAAGUGAGAAACUUAGUUAUUACUUACCUAUUGCAGCUCACAGCGGAGUGAAAUCUUAGUUAUCACUUUACCUAUUGAAGCCCAUUGCGACUACCGGGAUCCUCACCUGGUGGCCUCUAUCGCCUUUCAUGAGGAUCUCACCAAAGCUGUACGUGCCCGUGACAGACCUGACAGUUAGGGUUACUGUUAACUCCCGUGAUGCUCCUGAGAGCACUGUCAUUGCCUGAGGGCUGACCUCCAAUGCAAUUUCCGGGGGCAUUCUGGUGGUGAUUGUAUAGGUUUCGAUCUCAUCAGCCACAUUGGUCAGCAUCCGCUUUACUGUUUGAGUGCCUUCGAGAUGAGAAAUUGUGAUCGAUGGAGUGUUGAGAUCGGAUGGAUGGGUUUUCGUGGUGUUGCAACUGGAGCCCGUGAUGUUUGAGAUUUCAUGGUGAUCGAUGCCCGGUAUGGAGCAUAAGAAAGAGAUGUAGUCUUCAUGAGCUGUAAAAAAUAUAUGUAUGUGUAUAAAUCAUUUUAAGAUGAAGAUGCAUUGCCGAUUGCAUUUGUUCCAGGAAUGAAUAGAACAGAAGUUUUUCAAUAGUUUCUUACAAAAAGAUGACAUAGCACACAAUGGCAAAAACCCACUAAAAAUUCGCAAAAGAGCAUUAAACUGGACUUGAAAAAAUACGCUAGCUCUGAUCCUAACCAAGAAAUGGAAAAGAACAGAAGUAUUCAUUCAGAAACCAAGAGAAUGCAUGCUAAAGCCUUCAAGCCAUAAAAAAGCAUAACAUUGAAACGAGUACAACUUUAUUUAACCUGAUAAAGGAAAAAGUAGAUCUUAGUAAAACUAGCCAUAAUUUGUUGAUAAAUACUGAAAAAAGGAGGAAAACACAAGCCAUAUGCCAGUAAACGAAAGAAAAUUUAGGGUCCUUUGUUCUUCAUUUGAUAAGAAGAUAUUAUCAUUGUAAUUUCUUAUCUUCAGUUUAGAGGAUUAGAAGGCUUACCUGCAUCAAGAAUGAGCCCAGGUUCAAGUGCAGCCUUCGGAUUAACAGCACCGCUUCCAUAAUCAAAUGGUGUAGCCCGCACAAGCGUCAUGAUCUCUUCUCCAGCAUAUUGCUGAGCUCUAAUAGGCCUUCCCCCUUUAUCCAGCAUUGUGGCUGUAGUCAUCAAUGCAGAUUUUAUAGCAGCUGGACUCCACUUAGGGUUCUUUUGCUUUAUCAGUGCAGCAAUACCCGCUAUAUGGGGAGCAGCCAUACUGGUUCCAGAUAUCAUUGCAAAUCCUUCUCCUGCAGAGGGCAAACGUGAAUUCAAUAUAGUGAUCCAAGAUUCUGAUUCAAAUGCAGGGGUAUCAAUUAAAAGAAUUAAAGUUCCGGGCCUGUUUCAAAAUGGUCUACAGCCAGGAGAGCCCAAAUACAUUUUUCCCUAUUCAGAAACAACUAUAUUUUGUAGCAUCAAGCAAUUGUAUCACCUUAGAUUGUGUAACUUAUAACAUACCAAGAGAUCAAGAUACAAGCAAAAAGAACAGGAAAUAUCAUACAAGUCAUUUAGGAUUACCUAAUUACUCCCUGAAAUUUGACUUUGAUUCCAAUUUUUUUCACAUAGUUUCGAUUGAAAAGGUUGAGGCCCUGAAGUUUGUUGCUAUCACAAUUAAGUUUUCUAUAGUCUUAAGAUCAAAGGAAAACAACGUGAGCACCAGCAAUGGAAUUAGCUUUAUUAGAAGUGCAACUCUGAGGACAAAAUCACAAUAUGCGUGAAACAUCAGGGAUUUAAUUGUUAAGAAUUGAAACUGGCGGGGUGAAAGCUAAGUCAGGGUCAACAGGAGGGACUAAAUUGUUAAUGAAAACAUUGUGGACAAAAUUGAAAUCAAGAUCGAACUUCAGGACUAAAUUUGUAAUAACACAAUCUUUGAUCAGAUCAUAAUACCAAAUCGUAAGAACGGCCAUAGUUACAGAAUCUGCUAAAAUUACUCUAAACAAGUGUUGGCUCAAUUUAGGUGAUUAAAGCAACUAAACUUAGAGAGCAUUUAUUAAUUAGAUUCCCAAGACCUUAAUUCAGUAUACACCAAUUGCCUAGAAGGCAAAGCAAGCAUAUGGUACCCGAAAUUUCUACAUGUACAACUUCACCCACAAGGAAAAAAGAAAAUUAAUAAAUAAAAGUAUUGCUGGCACGCUAAUUUUGCUUGAUAUUUAUCUUACCAACAUAAUUGGCUUCGUCUGUUCCAUUGGGAGCCCAAGCAGCCCAAAUGAGAUUGCCUGGGGCUAGUAUAUCAGGUUUGAGGACAUCGGCAUCUUGAAAACUGAAGUCUUUUACACCUGGUCCUCUGGAGGAAAACAGAGCAACCUGGGGGGCUGAAUUGUAAAGUGUAGGUGCCAAACCAUUGGCAAUACUACCUGUUGCUUCAAACCUUACAGGACGCCCUGCCCAGUCUCUUUUCGUUGAACAGUUGUAGUAAUCUAUAAGCUCCUGUAACCAAUAAAUUAAUAAAGAACUUACUAGAACUUAAAAAUGUCAUUCUUAUAAAAGACAUGGAUAUGAAUAUUGAUAUGCAGAAAACCUUCAUCAUGAUAACUCAACCAGGACAUUAGAUUAUGUGAUGAAAUACAAUAUUCAUGAGGAUUUAUAGUGAAAAGCUGUUGGUUGAGGAUGCAGGAUACUCAUCAGUCAUUGUAAGCUAGGACAGUAGGAAAAAGAAAAGGAUGGCGAGCCUGAAAGAAAACAAGAAAUAGCGGAUUCAUAGAGUUUAGAAACUCUAUAUUUGCUUUCACAGAACACCAUAUCCACCUAAGAGGCAGUUUAAAUAAUCCCGUGAUAGAAAUUCAAUAAUGGCAAAUUCACUAAGCAGUAUUCCUUGGUGGAUGUGUGACAACUAUGCAAGUAAAUCAGAUUCAAAGAAUUGUAAAUGUUUCAGAAAAUGCCUUUGCCCAGCUGUUUCUAAGUAUCGAUAUUCUCACAAUUCUGCCCAACAAUUCAGCAUUAAACCAACACAAGUUACUGAUUAAAAUAACAGCAAACAUAAAACACUUAGAUAAUUGCUUAGAACCUUUGUUUUGCUGACAUCGGUGAUAAGAAUCCCAGGAACACUGACAGGAACAGGGUCAAACUUUGUUCCUGGAUAAUUAUUCUCCACGGCAACAAUAAAGCCAGCCGCACCAAGACUUUUAGCUGUGUCAGACACCUUUGAGAUCGAUGCCGUACCAGAUAUGAAAUUGAAGGAAUAUCCACACAGAAGAAUAUUCCCCUCCACCAACUUCUUAUUCAAAAGCUCUGGCUUUUGGCAGUCCAAUGGGUUGUAUUUUACAACAGAGGAACCUAGCAGCACAUCACUUGCGGAAACCAGGUUGAAUGACUUAUUCCCAUGUGUAGCAGCUGUAGUUGGAGAAUGAAAAAGAUAAAUCCAUUACUUCUCAAGAAUAUUAGCAUCAUAGUAAGGCUAUUAGUAAACAAAAUAACUCUCAGGCAAUAGAAACUAGAACAUGCAUUUGCUUGCAACACAGAGGGAGAAACAACUGUAUGCAAAUAGAAGGAACAACUCAAGUAAAAUGUUUCAUCUUACACUGAACCUUGGCCUAUUAUGCAAUGCAACUUAUCUACAUAAGCACCCUAACCUAUAUAAGUAGAUUAGUUAGAAGACGCAGAAAGUGAAAAAAAAAAAAAAAAAAAACUUACGUGAUAGCCCUAGCCCAGGUAGUAUCUGUCCAUUUCCCAGUGUCAAGUGAUUCUUGUAUCUACGAUCAUCCACCGCAGCAGCUACAGUCAUAAUCCAUGGGCUGAAAGAGACCAAGGUUUUAGGAAAGGGGCCUCCAUUUCCAGCUGCUUGGACAACAAACACUCCUGCUUUUACAGCCGAAAGAAGAGCUGCAUCAAAGGGAUUCAGAAAAGUGGUCCUUGUAGCUGUCGGUGGGCUAUUCGGCCCGACAGAUAGAUUAAGUACGUCGACACCAUCACGAACAGCCUGUUUUUUUACCACUCAUCAAUCAUCAUCCAUAUAUAUAUUACAAGUUUCACAAGGCUGUUUAAUUUAAAGUGAGGCUCUGCAUUCAGUCUACAGGAAGGAGAAACAUAAAGAAAAAUCAAUAGCUAAAGUCAAGAGAAACAAGCAUCAGUGACAUAUUUUUCUAGUCUAUUCAAACAUUAUUGGCUUAUAAUCAUCCAUGUCUUACAGAGCUGUCCAUGCCUGCCCGAGCGUCUGUCUCAAAUUAUUGCUUUGGUUUUCAAUAUAUAGAUUGGAACACUUAACCAUUGACAAACUAGUGGAUCACACUCAAGCAAUGUAUUGUUAACCAUAACAGCAUAUAUUAAAUUGGAAUUUUGUUCAUAUAACUUGGAGUUGUUUGGACCAUCUAGAGCUUCUACAGAGAGCUGCUUGAGUGAGGUUGUUAGAGAAGCUCCAACUCAGAAGCACCCUAGUCCCACAAACUUCCUGCUGAAACUUGACAGUAAAGUUUCCAUUUCUUUUGGAGAUCUAGAAUCCAAUUUUGGCUUCUCAUUUAAGCCACAUGCAGAGCAUUCCAUGGCCAAGUGCUUAGCUUCUGUUUCUAUAUUUCAGACCCUUGUCAACAGAAUUUGAUUACUAUACCCCUUUUUUUUUUCAACUUGCAGACCACCUGAUCUCUCAGCAUCAGUAUAGACACCCAUGUUUGGGUGCAGUUAUUGCGAGGUUCCUUAUCCACCUGUCCACCACUUAAGUUUGCUCAUUUCAAUGAAAUAGAAAAUUGCAAUUCACCCAAGUAAACUAAACGGAAAGUAAACACAAAUGUUGAUUCUUUCAAUGGUUAAACAUGCAGAGAGAAGGUGUUGGCGAGUUCUCUACAUGACUAUUUACAAGUCGCUAUCUUUUAAACCUAAAUUUGCUUAAUCUGAUUCUAUCUUGACAUUUUACACAAAGAGAAGUUAAAAGGAAACUAAAAGAUUGCAAUUCCUCUUCCAUGACCAAAUCAGCUUGCUAGAGAAAAAACAUCACCCAAAUCCUAUGCUCUUAGAUCAGUCUAACUUUCAUAUAUAUAUAUAUAGGGGUGGCAAUCCAGCUCGCAGUUCGUGAGCCACAUCGUGUUUCGGCUUCAAAUGAGCUCGAAUUGCUCGUUUUGUAAACAAGCCGAACGUGAGCUGAAUUUUCGGCUAUAUAAAAACUACCAACACGAGCUAGUGUAGGUCAGCUCGUCGUCGUCUCUCGAUAACAGCAUCAAACAGAAUUUAUAUUAAUAAUUAUUAAUUAUAUUAUAAAUAAUUAAUAAUAUAUAUAUAUAUAUUUAUUAUUAAAUUGCAAAAAUAAAAAAUAAAUCGAGACUUAAUUUAAAAACUCAUUUAUAUAUAAAUUUCAACUAUUAGAAUCAAAGUCAAUGAAUAAGAUUCUUAUAAAUUUUUUUAUAUACAUCAAUCUAAUCUUAACUUAGGUUUAUGCCAAUCUGACCAGCUCGUUCACUCGAAUUAUAACGAACUGAACACACGAAUUUUCGCUCGAUACUUUAACGACCAGCUCGUUCGUCGUUAUAAACAGCGAACACGAGCCAAGCCUAGCCCUCUGUCGCUCGUUCAAAACCCCUAUAUAAAUAUAUACCCAGAAUAUAUAUAAUAAUAAUAUACCCCAUAUACAGGCUAAAAACAACAAAGUUGUGUCAUGUAAAUUCUCAAGAAUUUAUGCUGCCCAACAAGCUACCAUGCAUAGAAUAUGAACACUUUGCUAGAAGACUUCAGAACCAAUCUUGUUACAAGCAAUUGAUACUAUAUGGGAUAUCUAAUCUACUUUAUCAUUUUUACCUGAUCAAUAGCUGCCACCACAUCAGAUACAUAUCCACCAAAAAGCCUAUAUAGAACCUUGUAUACAGCAAUCCUGCAAAGAAAACAAACAGAAAAUUUUCAUGCUUGUAGAAUCACAAACCAAAAAAAAAAAUAACAAGAAGGUUCCAUAACACAAACUGCGCUCAUCAAGUCAACUUCAGCAAGAUAUUGUGCAGAAAGUUUAAGCACAAAAACUCUAGCUAUAACGCAUUAUGGGAGCUUAUAGCUGCUCACAGCACCAACCAUUUGGGAAUGGCACCAAAAUAUGGUAUGAGCACUCUAAAGCUAGCUCAUUAAAGAAAUCACCCAAUAAGAUGCCUAACCUGGCACGCGGAGCCAUCCCACUAGCUUUACCAAAUUCAUGACCAUGCAUUCUCACUGGGACUCCAUUAUUUCCAGCAGCAAUUGCUGCCGUAUGGCUGGUGAGAAAGGAUAAUAAUAGUAAGAAUGGCAAAAAGCAGAUCAACCCAUGAAGUACUAAAGAAAUUGUAUCAUGCUGAACUUAAAGGGGAAUAUAUAGAUAAAAAUAAUCAAUGGAAAUUCCAUUGUCCAGAGACCCAUUUUCAUUAAAUUGGCAAGAACUAUUCUUGUUUAACUGUGUAAAAGAUGCAAUGUUUCCUGCAAUAUGAUGGGGUUAGUUCAACAAGAUAUCCUAGAAGAUAUGUCACCCUAUGGUAUGUUUUUGUCAUCAAUAUUCCAAAAAUGGUAAGACUCACUGUACAGAUCAACUUUUCAAAUAUCCCAGUCUGUUUGAUUUAGUUGCAUGCAUUUAUUAGUUAUAAGAUAUUGCACUUAUUGAGGGGCAUCUUUUCAUAUUAACUAUUUCUUAGUGAACUUUGAAUACUUGAAACUAGAUGACUGAUUUUAGUCGUAUCAUCUGUAGGUCCUUUUGUCUACUUCCGAAUCUAGUUGUUGAACUAAAAUGAACCAAGAACUUUGCAAUUACACAAAAGACGGUUCAUAACAUGGAUUACUUGAUUAAUGAGAGAAGCCAAAGAGUCUGUAUGCUCCAAAGAGUCGCAUGCUUUCUGGCUCAAGUGUUGUUUUCAUUCAUAGGGUAAUACCCAAAUCAUGGAUAGCCCACUCCUAAUUGUAAGUAUUGACAAACCUCAAAGACAUCGCAUAACAAAAUGGGCACCGGAAGAUUCCUCUAUUCUCUGAAGUUCCUUCAAUUUCAAAACCAUAACAGUCAUGCAUUGCCAACUAGAAAAGUUAAGCAUGAAAACCUUUUUGAGAUCUUGAGAUAUUCAGGUCAUCAAGAAGGGAAGCGAGAAGCUAUUCAGAAGCAAAGACCCAAGUGUAAUGCAAAAGCAAAAGAUGGAAAAACUAAAAAAGACAUGCAAAAAUAUGUUAUUCGGAAGGAAAUCUCUAAACGGAAAAAUACAAGGUAAUUGCUUCUUUCUAUUAUUUGAUGCCUCAUGUUUUAGAACAGAACAAAAUGAACUUCUCUAAACAAAAAUCCUAUCUAAAUUGGGGAGAGUAACGAGGGACUUCAAAGCAUUUACCUUCCAUGGCCAUCACCGUCUAAGGGUGAGGCGAAAUCGAUUGCUGGAUUAAAUGCUCCUGCAGCAAUGGCAGCUUUCGCAAAAUGUUGAGCUCCAAUUAUUUUUCCAUUACAAAAACUCUUCCGAGUUCCUGGAUCAAUUUCACAUUUUCCUUUGUAACGAGGAAGAGGUUCAUAGGACUCAGUGUUGUGAUUAGUAGAGAAACUCGGAUGCUUUGGAUAAAUUCCUGAAUCUACUAAACCAAUCACAAUGUCCUCCCCAGCUCUAUCAAAUCCACCGCCAGUCGGCCAUACUCCUGUCGGCAGUCCCAGAAAUUGCGGAGUGUGUGUUGUUAAUUUCCUUACUUUCAUAUCUUUCUCCACAUAUUUAACCCCAGGAGCCCUCCUCAAGGCCUCUGCCUGAUAAAAAAUAGUUAAUAGUUAAUUACAAACCCUUCUAUUUUGUCCUUAGAAUUAGUUGUAAUAAUUUUGUCCUGAGAAGUUUGGCUGGAUUUGAAUUUCAUCCUAAACUUUUUUCUUUUCACAAUUCAAUCCCUAAAGUAUGACCACAGCUUCAGCUUCCUCCGAGAGUUUCAAAUUUAACAGAACAAAGUCUAACAACGGUGCUAAUUUGGCACCAUUUUCCUGCUAUGAGCCAAAUGACUCAACGACUUAUGUUCUACACAAAAUUAGACUUAAUAGUUACAAAUGAAUUAUGAGGACAAAACUCAAAAUAAAUGUCAAACUCUAGGGACUAAAAUUUAGAAUUAAAUCAGCAAUUAACUCAUAUGACAAGGGUAUAUGCACUGUGGUGAAGUAACGAAAUUUCAAGUAUCUUAUUAAUUUACCUGUAAUGGAGACAUGUGCACAGCAAAGCCAUUUAUCAGAUGAUGGUAGCUAUAGAGCUUCUUGUAUGUCCCAACUUCAAGCAGUGAGUCAAGUAGUUCAUCAUGCUUUCUCUCAAGGUGAAGAGCAUAUGAUGUUACAGCCUCACUGUUAUGUUCAAGGAAUUUUUUAAAAAUGAUGAAAUCAAUUGUUAACACCAAAAGUGAAAAAUGAAGAGAAAUGCAAACUUACAAGAAAAAUAAUGUUGCUGAAUCAGUAAAUACUUCCAGAUAACUUCUUUCUAAAUAUGAUAUGAUGAUUAUCUGUUCAUAAAUAUCACCAAAUAAUUUUUAUAUUACAGUUUAUUUCUGCUUCUUAAAAACCCGACCGAUUAGCCAGAGUGAUUAUAUCGAAGGGAAAACUGUCACAACAAAUACUAGAAGAAAAACAUCGAUUCCACAAGUUGCUGUUUCUAUAGGUUUCUACAAUUAAUGCUGUAUGGCUAAGUUCUUCAAGAAUAUUUUUGUGAAUUAGGCUGAUUUAAGUAAUAUCAUAAAUCAGCCUACCAAAGAGAACUUUUCAAUUUAAUCCACAAACCAAUGGUACGGAUUACUUUUAUCCCAACACUUAGAUAAACAAUGAAACAGACAGGCCGCACCCAACUUAUAAUAUGUAACGCUCAUAGAGAAUGUCAGCCACCAAACUACAACAUGCUUGAUAAUGCCUAAAUGACCUAUUUGGAGCAGCAAGAGCUUCUUCUCAAGCAUUGUUUGAGUAAAGUUGUUGCAAAAAGCACUAAUACCUUUUAAAAAAAAAAAUCACCAAAAAAAUCUUCACAUUACGCAAAAUCAGAAGCUUCAAUUGGAAUUCUGCUUUUUGGAAUCAGAAGCUCACUUCACCUUGAUAUUAAAUAGUAAAGUUCAAAACUUUUUAUUUGUGAAAUGCUUGGCCAUUGUUUUUUUUUUGAGUCAGAAGCUAUUUCAGAAGCUAAGGCAAAGAGGCACUAAAUUAUGUUCUCAAACGACAAAAAUGCUGAACCUUUGCUGAAAUCCUGAAAAAGGGAACUAAUUGAAUUUAACAUCUAAGAUUGCAUGCUCAGAGAAUUCAAUACCUGGUUAUAUCCAUCUCUUCUAAUGGAUCCACUGCUGUUGCAGUGAAACCUUCAAUGCCACCAUUGUAGUUCACAACAGGCUCUCCUUCAAUAGCUACAAUAUAAACAUCAUGGGCUCCAAAAGCUAGGUGCCACAGGAAAAUAAGAUGUAAACACAAGAACUCUGUCGCCUCCAUCUUCAUGCCUAGGCAGCUUAAAUAAUAGUCAACCUUCGGUUCUGAAGACUCCAACUGUAAAGGAAAAGCUACCGGAGUAUAAGAAUCAGUUACAUAAAAAGCUUUCUACCUGCAAUCAUGUUCAUGGUAUAUUAAGAGGACAUUAUCACUUUAUUUUGAACUCCCAUGGUCCCCAAAAUGCUUCUUCAAGAUAUAAAAGAGCUUAAAAAACAAGUGUAGUGGUUUCUUUGUUUAAAAAAAAAAAAAAAAAAAAGGAUAAAAAUGUAUAAAACUUACCUGAACUAUGGACCAUUUUGAUUCGUCUACCCAACCUUUCAAAAUUUUGAUUUUCCCUACCCAAUCUUUCAAUUUGUUUAAUUUAUGUGAUUUGAUGACUCUUUGGAUAUAAAAUUAAGUUAUUUGCUUACAUUAAUGAAUUUACAAUUACGUGAAUUGUAUAAAAUAUACUAAUUAAACCCGCAAAGAUAAACGGUGCAUUCAAAAUUUGAAGUUAAAGAGUCACUGACUGACGCAAAUCAAAAAAAUUAAAAGGCUAGCUAGUAAAUCAAAAUUUUAAAAGGUAAGGUAGUCGGAUCAGAAUGGGUGAUAGUUGAGGUAAGUUUUAUACAUUUUUACGCAAAAAGAAAAAAAAAAUUACAGUGUAGGAAAUAAAGAAAAAAUACUCGAAAGCAACUGUAGUAUAUUGUAAUUAAGCCUUAAUAUUAAGACUACUGUUGGACACCACUAAACUCUUUUGGAGGUCAUUUUCUUUUGUUCUUAGCAUCUAACUAGUGCCUCUUAAUAGAGUUGUUAGCUUUUACUUAAAACAAUAGAUUUAUCGACAGUUGUGUAAAAAAUAGUGUAAAAGAUAAUAGUUUAGUAAUGCCUUUGAAAUAAUAAUAAUAAUAAUAAUAAUAAUAAUAAUACAGGGUAGAAAUUAAUGUAAAGUUCGGUGUGUUUAGAGAUGAUAAGAAAACGACAGUUUGAUGGUGUUUCUGGAAAAAAAAAAAAAAAAAAAAAAAAAAAAAAAAAGGGAGAGAUAAGAGAAAAAAAAAAGUAGCUUUUUUUUGUGGGCGCGGCUCUAUCAUUGAAAAAGAGUUUGAACUUAACACAUGCUACAAACAAACCUUACCAACUACAUUUCCACAGAAGCAUAAGAUCCAAAGGAGAUCACAUCUUUUCCACAUAAAUCACACACAGCGCAUGAUUAUCCCCACUCAAAUCACCAGAAACCAAAAGAAAGCUAGCAACUAACAGAUCAACCCAACAGAGAGCAAGAGGCAACGCACAAUGCACGAGAGAUUAAGAGAUAAAAAAAAACCUCGUCAACAACCGACUUCUUUACCUUCCCUUACCCUAAACCUCACAACGGCUAGGGUUUGGAUCGACGACGAAGAGCGCGUCGAAGCGAGGACGAGGUGAGGGUGAUGAUCGACUCGUACGAUCACGCCAUUGGACGAAGAGCGAAAGAGGGGGAGGCGUGGGGGUUAGGGUUAGGGUUAGGGUUUGAGAGGAGGAGGAGGGAGAGGGGGGGAGUGUGGAGUGAGAGGAGGAGGAGGAGAAGCUUCGCGAGGUUUCCGGUGUCGCCUUUAAUGGAGGGGAGGGAAAGAAAAGAAUCUCGGGAGUUGGUAUUUACGGUUCUGCCACUGAGCGAGCAAAUAGAGAGAGUGGUGGAGCGAGAUCACGCACCGAGGAAUUUAAUAACAUGGACCUGCUCCACCACGUCAUCCCUCAACCGCUUUAUAAUUUGGGAAAACUUCAAAUACCCCCAUGUGGUUUCACUUUUUCUCACUUUAGUACCCUAUAGUUUAAAAUGUAUCAAGUUAGUCCCAAAUCCGUCCUACCAUGAUCCGUCCCGAAUUCGCCCCGAAAAUUAUUUAUAUUUUAAAAAAAUAUUUCUAAAAAGUAAUGUAUUUACAAAAAAAAGUUCAAAAUACAAAUAAGUUGUACUCUUAUUUCUAAUGUAUUUGAAACUUUUCAAUUUUGUUUUGAAUUGUGAUUGAUAUUUUUUAUUUUUAUAAUUAAUAUUAUUAAAUUAUAUAUAUAAUAUUAUUAAAAAUUAUUAAUUUAUAUUUUAUAAAAUAUUAAUAAUAUUAUAAUUUUAUAAAAAAUAUUAGUUGGCGGGCGGAUUCGAAGCGCAGGCAGGAGGCGGGUUACGAGACGGGGUGGAUUAUGGGAUAUAUUUUUUAACCCGUCACGGAUUCGGGACGGAAGGCGGGGUGGAAUUUUGCUAGUCGGGGUGGGAAGCGGGGCGGGGCUCCCGCCCACAGAUCCACCCCGUUUGCAUACCUAAACCUCAAUCAAAAAACAAAGUAAAGAUGGGGUCAUUUCAAAUUGCCCUAUAGUACACACGCAGAUUUUCUCCCAAUAGGAAAGCCAUUACGUAAUAUUAGAAAAAUUAAUGGCUCAAAGCAAAAAAAAAAGUGUUAUAAAAGCUAUAAAAAAUUAAGAUAAAUAUUUAGAUCUUGAAUAUUACAUCUAAUAAUUUUAAGACUAAAAUACAUAAAUUUUCUUGCAAAUACCUAUUUUUUAUUUUUUCUCUCAUGACUCUUAAAAAUCUACAUUUUACUCUCUUAAAAUUUUAGAAAUAUUUUCAGAAAUUUAUGGUGUUAAUAAAGAGUGCGAGAUGACCAAACCCCUUCUUAUUCUGUAAAAAAUAAAUAAUUUUUUAAUCUAUUUUUAUUAUUUUUAAGAUUAUUUUUGAUAUAAAUUAUAAAAAAAAAGACGAUAUAGUUACGUAACCCUGACGAAGGAGGGAGUAAAAUACACGUUUUUCAGAGUCAGAGGGGAAGUAAAAAAAAAGUAUUUGUAAGGGAUUUUCUGUAUGUUUAGCCUAAUUUUAAAUAUACAGGUCCACGGUGUACCAGGUCCAGCGAAUAGUUUCUCCACGGGGAGAGCGAGGUUAUUAUGGGGGUAUUAAUGUCGGAGUUAUUGCUCCACAUUAUUUCGAGGGGAACUUGUCCUUAUCGGUCUCAUAAAGGAGCCCACGUGAUCGAUGAACUCGGCACCGGAUUUUGCUUCUUAGUCAUAAUACGACAAGUCGUCGCCGAGUUCUAUAUAACGAAGUCGGCGUUGCGUUAGCUACUCUGCCGGUUUCGUUGAACGCUUUGGAUUCUCCUUGCCUCGGUUACUAUUUAGGAGACAAGUCGUAUUAACGGAUCCAAAUAUUUUUCAGAAUAAUCCACAGAAAAAUAUCGAAUUAAAUUUAUAAAAGCCAAAAUUAGAAAGGAUGGAAAAAUAAAAAUCUAAAAAUUAGAUAUAAUGAUAUGACAUUAAAAAUAUAUUUUUUUAUAGAAAAAAUAAUCUAAAUAUUUUUUGUCUAUUACUUCCGCUAAAAUAUGUCUAGUCAAAUUCUGCCAACAUAUAUAUAAAUUGAGCCUCAAAAUAUAACCGUCUCAACAGUAAAAAGAGCUUUUUGCUUAUUUAUUCCGACUAUUAUUCAAAAUUUUUAAAUUUAUUCUAAAACUAUCAAAAUAUCUUUCUAAACUCUAAUUUUAAUUAGUAAACUCUAGGGAUUUAGGGAUAUUUUAAAAAAAGUUUGGCAUUUCAGUCAACUAUUGGUAUACUAAAUAUUUUUGAAGUUUUAAAUAACAUCUAGAAACUCUUAUUAAUUUUCAUAAUUUUGUACACGUGGCAAGCUUACCUUAACUAUUGGCUGUGAGGCCCAUCUCAUUUAUCCUUUCUUUGAACCUAUCAAUUUUUAAAGAUCAUGUCAUUUUUCCUUCCGACUCUUCAGUAUAAUAGAAUUAUCAAAGACUUUGUGGUUACUCAUUUCAUCUGUUCGGUUUUUGUGUUUUUCUUCUAAACUCAUCAAAAUUUAACUUGAAAUCCCACUCAUCUUUUACCUAAACUCUUUACAAGUUCUCUUCCCCUUCCUUCACCGCACUCCCCUCAGCGCGGUGGUGGCGCAACUGAAAUCGAGACCAGGAACGUGACAAGGAGUAUGACCCAUUUCCCCUUUUUCAACCUUGUCCCUCCCCAAUCUCUUUUAAGAUCAUGAAUGAUCGAUCAAAGAGGAAGAAUAAGCGAUCAAGAUCAAACAUAUUGAGAGAUACGAAGAUCGAUCUCUAAUUGAGCUCAAUUUCAUCGAUCGAUCAAUGUAGAUCCCUAAUUUUGGGAGAACGAUUACGUACGGAAUAUAUAAACCCUAAUUAGAGAUAUGCUGCUCCAAUAAAUAUUCAUUCGACGCAUUGUAUGGGUCCCUGCACUAGUAUAUUAGAUAUUAUUCCAUAGUAAAAAAACUAGUAUCAAACGCAUAUGAUACCACAAUGUACGAUAGGAGAACAUUCUAUUGUGUUGCUGCUUAAUUAUUGGACCUAUUUCGAAAAGAGUUGUAUUAGAUACAUUUUUUUAUUAUUUGACUAAAAUAAAGAAAACCAUAUGCAAAUACCUACUUCUUCUUUUUUUUCCCUGACUUUCAAAAAAUUUAUUUUACCCUCUAAAAAAUUUUAAGUUGAUGCAUUUAGCGCCCCCCCAACCCCCCGUUAAGGUUCCGUUCACUAUUUCGUGUACUUCUUAUAAUUAUAUCAAAAAUAUAUUUAAAAGUAACCAAAAUAUUUUUUUUCUUAUAAAAUAAAUAAGAACAAUUUGAUCAUUUCGCCCACUCUAUUAAUGCUGUAAUUUUUUAAAAAUCUUUUUAAAAUUUUAAAAAAAUAAAAUAUAGAUUUUUGAAAGUUGGGAAGGAAAAGUGAAUACAAAAAAUUUUUGCAGAAUUUUUUUUUUUUUGUAUUUUAGCCGUGUUAUUUACUUGGUAAUAAAGAAAGAGAACAUUGCUCUUAUUAUUGUUGUAUUAAUACGUUGAGUGGGAUUUCGAUCCACAAUAGGUCUAGCGGCAAGAAACCCUACAAUAGACCUAACGUUUAUGUAGGCUAAGUCAGGUCGAAAUUCGUGAGCGCUGUAGCUGAGCCGCCCUUAAAUGCAAUAAAUGCGCUCUCUCUAACAUCAUAUAAUUUUGGAACAAGUGAUUAAUGCUUACCACCUAUACUAAUGUUCAUAGGUCUCUUCCUAUAUAUUUUGUCCCCCUUUUUUUUUUUGUGUGUUUAGAACACAAACUAAGAUUAAGACAAAAUGAAUCUUUUCAUGCAUUAAUAAGAUUAAGACUAAGUUUAGAAGUACAUAACAAGACCUUUUUUUAAUGCACGUGAGAGAUGGAACCCACCAUAUUUUGUCCUUGCUUUACCUACAUCUCACAUGGUGGGGACUCCACCUAGUUUAUGGCGUGACACAUGAUUUUGUCAUCACCUCUUCAAUAAUUAAUGUUGGGGUGUAAAAUGUACCAAUCUCAUUCAAUUGAUUGGAAUCCAACAAUAAAUAUAUAUGCUUGUCGCUUUAUAACCAAACCAAUAUGUGACGGCCCAAUAAUCACAUAUCAUAUUAAAAAAAUUUAUAAUUGUGAAUAUCAGAAUCAUGGUUUCUAAUUCUAAUAAUUAAGUUUUAAGCAUUUUAGAUUGGGAUUUGGGCCUAACAGGUUUAAUCGACGUCAAAUGGAUAUUUUUCUGAUUAUAAAUAUAAAAAAUAAAAAUUCGACAGAUUCGAAUUUGGAUAUGAUUUCUAUUUGUACCCGCCACCAAUCUAAACCCGAAUAAGUUUUAUAUUAUAUAAUAUAUAAAAAUUUGAAUUUGUACAUUAAAAAAUUAGAUUUGAUAAUAAUACUUUCGGGUUCUGGUUUUUGGGUUCGGAUUUUUGGUUUCAGAUUUUUUGUCAGGUUAGGAUUUGCAAAUGGAUUUUCAUAAACUACUGGUUUCAGAUUCGAGUUAGGGUUUCGGUAUUAAUAGUCGGAUUCGGGUUCGAAUUUUUGAAAAUAAUUAAUUCUAAACCCGACUCGUUGACAUUACGAACUGAGUCGUUAUAUUUGAUAUGAAAGUUGUUCGCAAGCACCCAUCUCAUAUCAAUUAAACAUUUUUAUGCUAGAAGAAGGAUAAUUGAUUAGUCUACAAAUUACAAUGAAAAAAAAAGGGCCCAAAAUCAACAUGAAUUUUAGGUAAAUUGCAAAUGUUAAUUAAAAACCUAAUAUUACUUAAAUACCUAAGUUACAAGAUUAAUUAUAUAAAUAAUUAUUUUGUUUCUGUUAAAUAUUUUUUAUGUAUUACUAUCAAAGUUCCAAAUAUUGUCAGCACAGGAGUAUCACAUGGUUACAAAUAAUAUGUAAAUUCCGACCUGAACUUACGCUAAAUUAUAAAUCAUUGUCCGAACUUUUUUUUACCUUUGGUGCUACAAAGAAAGUUUUUUUUAAAAAAGAAAAAACCUUUUUCUGUAUGUGAUAGUUAUGUGUCGACAUUAUUUGCGAGAUGCGACAAAAAAAUUUGAGACAAAUGACUGAUUCUAAUAAAUUGCUCAUUCAUAUAACAAAUUCAAUCUUAUUUAGAUAGCGAUUUGUGUUUGAGAUGAAGUUUAAUAGGUUUUGUAGUUUUUUUCUCAUUCCAAUAUUUGAAGAAGCAUAUGGAUUUGGAGCCCAAUGUUAUUGGGUUAAGGUUUGGAUUCCAAAAUGGUUCGGCCCGAAUUCGCCCCGAUUUCACCCUCUGGUGGGGCUAAGCCAAGUUGGCCGUUUUGAUAUAACAAUUGAUUAAAUACAAUCAUAAUGUGACGUUCUCAGGAUUUGAAAUUUAUAUAUAGUAUAAUAAGACUAAAUCUUUUUAUUCGAUUAUACCAUUUUGGGCUAUGGUUGAAUUCAUGAUAUUAAGAGGAUUAAGUAUGUUAGGGUUAAAGUAGUUUUAGGAUUUGUGACUCCUUUUUUGAAGCAGGACAUCACAAUUGGUAUCGGAGCCAAUCAUUAAUCGGAAGUAUGAGAUGGAUCUUGGCUGAGCUCAGAUCAUAUAGCGGGAAGAAUAUUGCUCUCCAAUUGACGACUGUUGUGGGUAGAGCACAGAUUCCGCAAGAUGGCUAGUUAAGGCUAGCAAUACGAGUCUCAAAUCGUCUGUUGCUUGUGAGUGUACUUGAGCCUUGCAAGGACGUCAGAACUUAAAAGGAAGGAAUAUGAUACUUUCAAAUUUUGAAAUAGUCAUGUGUAUAUAUAUGGCAGUGUUUGGAUUGGGGAUAAGGGGAGGGAUAACCCCUUAUCCCCCUCUUUAUACCCAAAUGCAAAUUUUUUACCCCAGAAUAGUAGUAGUUCUAGGAUUUCUGAAAUAAGCUGGUAUAACUAUCUCCACUAACACCUCUAUUUUUUAUAUAUAACUAUCCAUUAUUUUUCUUAUUCCAUAUUAUCUAUCCAAACACUAUUUUUCUUAUCCCCGGGAACAACCCAAUUUUCAUCCAAACGCUAUUUUGCUUAUUUCCAUACUUGUACCUAUCCCUGUAAUAGCUAGUUCUUGCUUAUACCCGAACCAAACGGGAUAAUAUAUGAUAUGACCAAACUUUUUAACCUGGUUAUAGCAUUUGGGAUGGUGGCUAGAUCUAAAAACUUAAUAGGGUUAAAUGUGGUAGAACUAGAAUAGUUUUAGAAUAGAUGACCCCCCAGAAAGCAGAGUGUGACACAUGAAUUGUUCGUCUUUAUCCUAAUUAAACAUUAAUAACAUCGACAUUAUGGUAAACAAAAUUCCCAUUUCCAUUAGCUGCAUUUUCUUCUUCUACUUUUAGCUACAGUUAUUUUUUGCAGAAUGUUUAUCGAUGCAAAAGUUUGGAUCCAACUGUGGUAUAAAAUAGAUUUAAGAUUUCACAAUUCAAAAACAAUGCAAUUUCUAUAACUUUUCCAAAUGGGCCUGUACAGGAGAUCUAUGCUUUCAUCUUACAAACUUGCAAAGCUUAAGAUCUAAAUUGGCAAACCAAGCCAACAGGAGAUGCUGGCAAAUGCUCCUAGGGCUGUUUGGCCUAGAUUUAAAGUCUCAAUUUAAAUUUAAAAAUUUGAGUUUAAAAUUAUAUUCAGAUUUUAAAAAGCAGACUUUAACUGCUUCUAAUUUGAGCCUCUAAAAUUAAAAACUUAUUUUAGGAAUCAAAAUCAGAUUUUAAAAAAGAGAUUAUUAAAUUCUUUAUUGAAAGAAAAUUCACUUUUAACCUUAAAAUCACUCUGCUUAGAUGAAAACGGACUUUGGAACGGUCCCUUUCUAUGUGCCAUCUUAUGGCUUGCCCAAAAGAGCCCUUAUUCCAGUUGUUGUGGUUAAGUUUGAGAUACUUUCAUACAAAUAAAAAGGUAAAAAUAUAUAGAAUAUCCUUGACUUCAAAAUUUAAGCUAAUUUUUUGCUCCAAUGAAUUUGUAAUUGCGUGAAUUAUAAAAAGUAGGCUAACUAAAUAUAUAAAGAUAAACGUCAAAUUUGAAAGUCGAAGUAUCAUUGACUGGCUCAAAUCAAAUAAAUUAAAAGAUUUGAUAGUAAAUCAAAAUUUUGAAAGAUUAUAUAUUUAAUUCAAAAUUAUCCAUAAUUCAAGUAAGUUACAUAUGUUUUGACCCAAAUACUGUCACUAUAUAUUAUGCAUGUAUUAAUGUAUUAUUAGCGCUCCAAAGUCUUAGAACUUUUUGCUGUGUGCAGUAGGCCCAUGAGACUAAUAAAUUAAGUUAAAUGAGUCCAACGUUGAGUGGGACUGUGGUCCACAAGAAACCUAACGUUAAGAUGGAUUCAAUUAGGAUGAAAUCUGUGAGCGCUAUGGCUGAGCUUUUAAAUGUGAUGAGUGCGCCCUUAGUAUUAAUAUGUACUUUUAGAAUAGUUAGUCGGCGCUUACGAUCCAGAUUCGAUCUCCGGUGCUCCUAGGGAUGUCAAUGGGUAUGAAUAACCGAAAUUUUAUCUGAACCCGAACCCGAAUGAAACGGAUAUAUCCGAUAUUAAAUGGAUAUGAAUAUCAAAAAUAGAAACCCGACGGAUAUGGAUUCGGAUAUGGAUUUUGAGUUUACCCGACCCGAACCCGAGCCCGACCCGAAACUGAAUUUAUUUUAUAUUAUAUAUAAUAUAUAUAUAAAUUCGAUGUUAUCUUUGAAUUUGUAUUUUAAAAAUUUAGAUUUAAUAUAAUAUAUUUUGAAAUAUUGAAAAAAGAAAUACUUGUUUCGGGUUCAAAUUUUCGGGUUCGGGUUCGGGUUCGGGUUUCGGAUUUUUGGUCGGAUUCAGGUUUGGAUAUGAAUUUUUAAAAUUUAUCGGGUUCGGGUUCGGGUUCGGGUUCGGGUUCAGGUUUUUGAAAAUCCGCCCCAAAUCCGACCCGUUGACAUCUCUAGGUGCUCCUGUGGUUUUGGAGGAGAUUCUUGCUGUUCCAAUGGCCACAAAAGAGAGCAAUUCUUUCCUCAUAAAGAUUUCAUAAGCCUAACUGGCUGAACUAACCUGGCCCAAAGAACACUUGGCACCAGGUUUUUAUACUCAAAAAGUGGAUUAGAUCCUAAUUGUUGGUCCAACAAUUCAAAGUUGUAUUACUUUGGCAGGGCCAGGUUUGGGGGUAUACUUUGAACUUCUAAUCUUUUAUAUACUCUCUUCUAAAAACUUGAGAAAUAUCUAAUAUAUUUCUGAUUGACCAAAAUUCUCUUCGAAUUUCAAAUUCUUUUUUGAAAAAUCCAAAAACUCUUAAGGGUUCGGUAAUGGGAUUGGAUUUUAGAAAGAUAUUAUAUUUGAAAAUUUCGAAUAGUUUUGAAGUAUAAAUUAAUAAGCAAAAGCUCCUAUUUUGUUUAUUUUCAAAACACUAUAUACUAAAUUUCCUAGAUAGAAGUAUCAUGAUCAUGGAUAAUGUUUCAAUUAUGAGAAAUAUCUCACCAUAACUUUUUGCUGCAAAACAGGAAUAAGAUUUUGCCCUUUAAAAAAACCAUUGUAGAAUAGGAAUAAACUUUUGCCUAUAAUCUUCUUUGUCUAGAACAUGAAUAAUCUCUUGUAUCUUCUCUUGCAGCGAAAAUAAGAUCUUUACCGCCACGGUUAUUAAUUAAGGGAAAAAAUUAAAAUUUUUGGUAAAUUAGUCCUCAAACUUUAAUUUGUCGUAAUUUCUGGUUCGAACUUUCUGAAUUAUUGUGAUUAAAUUUCAUAAUCCAAUUUAGUUGGCUAAAUAUCGUCAAAUUAUUGACACGGAAGUAUUGCAGCAUUUUAAUUAUUGUUGCAUUAUUAAUCACGAUAUUUUCACAUUAUGUCUACAUUAAUAAUUUAUUAUUUAACCAACUAAAUUGGGUUGUGAGACUUGAUUACCAAUAAUUCAAAAAGUCCGAGUUAGAAAUUACAACAAAUAAAAGUUUGAGAAUCAAAGUGACACACGUCUCAUUCUUUGAGGACUAAAAGUAUAAUUUAUCUUAAAUUUUUUUUGUUCCAUGUUUGUUGAUUAAAGAGAAGAGAUGUUGAGAGAAAUCAUUGAUUAGAAAGGAGAGAUACCCAUGAAUAGGGAUGUCAACGGAUCGAAUUUUUAAAAAUCCGAAUCCGAACCCAACUACAAACCUGAAAUCCGAACCUGAAUCAAAAUCCGACGGAUUUUAAAAAUCCAUAUCCAAAUCCGAACUCAACCAAAAAUUUGAAAUCCGAACCCGAAUCCGAAAACUUGAAUCCGAAAUUGUUAUUUCUCUUUAUCAUAUUUCAAAAUAUAUUACAUUAAAUCUAAAUUUUUAAAAUAUAAAUUCAAAUACAACAUCAAAUAUUUAUAUACGUAUAAAUUUAUACCCGAAUCCAAAUUUGUCAUAUUUUUAUUUUUAUUUGUUUUAUAUCUCUUUCGAAUUAAGUAAAUCCACUUUGUUCGGAUUCGGAUUCCAAAAGUUAUCCGCACCCGUUAACAUCCCUAAUCGAGUCGCGCUCGAAACCUCUCUCUACACCUAAAAAACGCACUGUUAAAAAGAGCGGCAAAACCCUUCUCUCUCUCUCUCCUCGCUCGCGUUAAUUCGCCAUGAGCGACUCCCGCGAAGGAUCUCCCGAUUGGCUACGAGCAUUCCAGGUCAAUUUCCACCUUUUUUUGAUACAAUUCGUACGCCUAAUUUGUGCUUUUAAUCCUUUGAUGCUUCUCGAAUCAUUGUUAUUGUUCUUCGAGUGAAAGGAUCAAGUCGAAAUUGGAAAAAAGCGGAAUAAAUCGGGGUUAAAUCCUCUUUUUAUGGUGGUAUAUGCUUUUUUCUAGCAUGAUUUGUAGUUUAUUUAUGUUAAAAUUUUGAUCUUUUUUUUUUUUUUUUUUAUCUUAGGAGUGAUUAUUGGUAGUAUUAGUGUCACAUUACCUCAUUUGUAGCAAUUUAGGGUUCAUUUUGAUCUUAAAUCUUCAUCAUUUCGCUGAAUAUGGAUGUGGGUUUGGGACAUUAGAGUUUAUUUGGUAUCUAAGAAUUUUUAUUGGGUAGUAUGAUUAGAGAGUGUUGGUUUGGAACUUUGUAAAUGAAUUGGGUUGAUAGUAUUUUUUUUACUCUUUUCUAGGAUUUAUCUUUCCCAAUUUGGAUCGCCAAUUCACGAGGAUCAUCCAAAUUUACCCUUUUUUUUCCAAUCCUUUCUCCUAUUUGAAUUUCUGUUCUUGGUGAUUCAGGAUGAUAUUUCUUAUUGUUAUUUAGAUAUACAUUUUUUUCUUUCAUCCAAGUCCCUGAAGUUUUAGUCAAGUUUCACUUUAUUGAACUUGUAAGUAGAACAUAUGUCAUUCCAAACUUUUAGAAUUUCUUCACUUUAGUACGUAAACGUAGAGGAAAAAUUGUUUCGUGCAUCUGUGCAUCCAUUCACUGUGAAUCUUCAGUCCUCCAUCCAACUUAAUACUUUCAGUCCUCUGUCUCAUUUGUAAGUGGAGUCUGAUUUGCAAGUGGAGAUAAAGUUGCAAGUCAAUGGGUGGUAGCGAUCGAAAUAUGAGAUGGAUAACGGAAUGGUUCUGUGGUGCACGAAUGUACGAAUGCAUUGGGUGUAGGUAAUAAUAUCUCUUCUAACAAUAAAUAAUGACGAGAACUAAAGUGAAGCACUUUCAAAAGUUUGAAAUGUCGGAUGCCCAAGUCAAAAGUUUGUGGACUAACGGACCACAAUGAGACUUGGCUAAAAGCUUAGGGACUAGAGGUGCAAUUUACCUAAGAGAAUAUAUAUAUCUGAUCUAGCAUAUCCUAUAAUGAGCUUCUAUGUUUCUGCACUUUCACUACUUAUCCAAUUUUUUUACCUGUGAAAGUAAUGCAAUUUUAUGUUGCAGUCUAUUUGAAGAUCUGGUUAGUUUAUUAUCAUUCGAUUUCUUUUUUUUUUCUAUUGCAUCCUACAUACUUGUAAUUGAGGAAGCAAAUUUUUGGAUUCAAUAAUUUGUAUCAAUGCAAGUGAUUCUUGUUGAUACUAUGAGGUUAGCAACUAAUAGAUCACGUUUCUUACAUGAUUUUCACGAGAAUUUUGUUGGACUUAUUAUCUGAUGGAGAUCAUACAAGUUUUUUAGAGUGCAAAAAAGUCUCUGGUCAUCUGGUGUAUUUACUUCUUCAUCACUGCCUCCAGUUGUUUUAGUUUUAGUGGAUAAUUGAGAAUUUAAUGUGACUUGAUUUUGAAACUGAAUUCUGGCCUUAUUCUAUUUCACAACAUUCCGCUUUCUUGAACAGGCACCUAAUAGGGAUGUUGUGACACUAUCUUCUGGUUCUGAUUCUUCUCCCAGAAAUAGCCCGUCGAGGCCUACUACUACGCAUGACAAAGCACCAAAGAGACAUCCGGAGAAUGAUGACUCAAUAGUUAUUGAAAGUGGAGAAGAUAGUCAAGUUAAGGCUAAAAAGGCAAAAAAUGUAAAAGUCGAGAACUGUCCUAUUCUAGUAGAAGGUAAAUUUAAAGGGAUUCAAAUCUAUUAGGUAAUAAUGCAACUGUUGCAGCUUUUAAGUGUACAAAUGCUUGUGUGCAUGCGUGCAUGAAUUUUUGGAAGCACUAGGGUAACAGUGCUUCUGCUACUUUUCUCUUUGGACGGGUUUUGAUAUCCGCGCAUGCACACUUCAUUUCAAGGUGUGUGCCUGCAUGAUGUACAUCAAGCAAGGAUUGUCGUGCCACUAGCACGGCCGUGCAGCUGUGCUGACAGCACGGCAUGGCACGCCUUCCGUGCCAGUGGCUCAUCACUAGCUUUUUGGCACACAUUUGCAUGAAUUCUUUUCAAUUAAAUUGUCAUAAAAAUUAGUUUUUUAGAGUGUUUCAACAUCUCUAAUGAUUAGGAAACUAGUUUAUAUAUUAUAUCUCCCAUUAUUUAAUAGAAAUAGAGUCACAAACAUCAUAAUAACUUAAAAAAAUAAUUUUAUACAUAUUAUUGGAUAAAAAUUUGUAAGAAAACACUGCCAUGGGUAUAUGCAAUAGAUCUAAAAUGAUAAAAAACUUGGAGGAAAUCUUCUUAUUUGUGUAUAUAUAUAUAUAUAUUUACUUAAAGUUGGUCUUAUUAUGAAAUUGAGCUUACUAAUUUCUCCAAGUGUAAGUAGAUUUUCAAGAACUACAAAUUUUAAGUAUGAAAGCACUUAAAAAAACUCUUUACCUCAAAAAAAAAAAAAACUCAAAAAGAUUUCAGAAAAUGUGAAAAAAACUACUUUCUUGAUACCAACCCCGUGCCACGUGCCUGCCAGCACAUGGGCAGCAUGAGGCGGCAGGCACAUGCAAUACUUGGCAUCAAGAUUCCCUCUUAUUAGAGGCGUGCAUACAUGACAAAGCCAAUUUGACACAAAAAAAUGAAAACUUCAGCCCCUCAUUGCCUCCAAAACUAUUCCAGCACAACUCCUUUCUCUCUGUAUUUUAUUUAUUAUUCAUAUAUAUAUAUAUAGAGAGAGAGAGAGAGAGAGAGAGAGAGCUAGGCUGGUAUACUAUCGGUAGCACGAAAGCCGUGCUACCAAGUUGUUUUCAAUGAUGCGGCUUUCAAAUCGACGAUCGGCUCCAUUAGACUUGAUCUACACUAUUAACAGUAUUUGGAAACUAAAUUUCAUAAUUUUUCAACAUCAUUUGGCUUGUGAUCAAAAGGUCUCAAAAUUGACAAUUUUAAUGGUAGAUGUGAUGCAUUUGUGAAUUUAAUGGCGUAAAACAAUCCAAAUCUGAUGAAAUUUUUAUAGAAAUUUUUUUUCACUAUUUAGAGUAAGAUCAAUACCUCUGAUCUUAAAUUCAAGUCUUUUAUCAUUAUUUUUUAUGAGAUUUUUAUUUUCAGCCGUUCAUUUUUAGACUACUCGUUUGAUAGGUAAAUGAUGCCGAAAAAUUAUGAAAUUUAGUUGCCAAAUACUUACAAUAGUGUAGAUCAAGUCUAACGGAGUCGAUCGUCGAUUUAGAGGUCGCAUCAUUGAAAGCAACUUGGUAGCACGGAGGCCUUCGUGCUACCGAUAGUACACCAGCCUAGCUCUCUCUCUCUCUCUCUCUCUCUCUAUAUAUAUAUAUAUAUAUAUAUAUAUAUAUAUAUAUAUAUAUAUAUACAUUCUCAUAUGUGCCCUUCGAACACCCUUGGAAAACAUCUUCUAAAGCAAGACCAACUUCCCUCUUGGAAUUUAUAACUCUCUAACUUAGAAUAAGGGUAUUUUUAUACGAAACUCGACAUCUGAGGAGUGUAUGUGAAUAUUUAAUCUUACACAUGUAUAUAAGCCCCUGUAUUAUUUUACCUUAUUACGAUUAUCUUGGUGUGUUCUAACAUAGAUACCUUGGAUACACAAGAGGACGGACCUGCUGAAGUGGAUAUUAAAGAAAAAUCUAGUGAUCCUCCUGUAAGAUGCUAAAUAUGUGCUGUUUCUCCUCUAUCUUCAUCCGUAUGUGCUAAUGUGUUUUGUUUUUGAGUUAACCUAUGUUUCAAUUCAAAUCUUAUUAAGAUAAUUGACAUUUAAUUAUACUGUGUAAAUUGUUGUUUCCAUGUUAUGUAAACUAGGUGCCGAAAACUAGUAGUUUUACAUGAUCUGUAUGAGCAAAUGAGGUUUAGUAGUGGUUGUUGAUAGGACUGUAGGGACCAGAUGUUUGACUUUUUACCUAUUUCUAUGAUGGAUUUUCUAUUACUCUGUUUGCUUAAUUCUUUGAUGAAGUACAUUUUCUUUUGAACUUUAGGUUUCUCAGAGGUUGCCAUUGAUCUUCCCUGACAAAGUUCAACGUUCAAAGGUACAACUUCUCCUAUCUUUGAAUGGUUGUGGGUUGAAGAGAAUUUCUUCUUUGCUGGAUCUGUUAAUUCAUAAUUUACAUUUAACUAGCUCAUUAAAUUGUUUUUUAUGUAGGAUCUCCACCAAAUAAAAGAAUGGGAAUUUCAAGAGAAAUUUACUUAAUUAUGUAACACUCCAACCAUAAACUUUGGAAGUGCUAAAUCAUAGGCUAGAAGCAGUUUAUGCUUUCUGAUAGCAAGAAAUCUAUGGUUUAGCCAGAUAGUAUCUAAGCAAUCUCAUUCAAUUACUAAAGCUGAGGAUGAUUUAAAGCUAGCAUUUUCGCGUCAUGAGUUUCAUUUUGGAUAUUAAGCUAAAAUUGAAAGUUUCUUAUGCAACAGAAAGUAUAGCCAUAGGAACUCGUAUUGCCAAUGCUUGUAAAAAAUUGUUGCACAAGUUAGACUACUCCCCUAAUGAAAAUCUCAUACUAGACUAAACCUCAUGAAGUUAUUUUGCUAUCAUGAAGUUGUUGUGCUAUAUUCUCUGCUUUAGAUAACUGUUAUAGUAUUCUUGAAUUUUGUUGUCGCAUAUGCCUGUGAUAAAUGUUUCACCACUAUACCCGUGUCUGGGGUGUGAAUGAAUAUACAUCAGGUUUUCACAGCACACAAGAGAAAACCAAAUAGGGGUAUUUUUGCAAUAUUCCAUAUUUGUAUUUGCAGGGGAUAUGUUUUUGACAAAUCCAUUUUACAAUUUGAUAUUGUAGUGACACUGCCUGUUUGGAAGAUUGUCCCAUGAAAACUUGGUUGAUGCAAGAUCAUUGCGAGAUCUAUCAUGUUUUAGUACCAGAAUGUCAUGGGCAUACAUAAUCAAUUCUAAGGGCAUUAGGUUUACUGAUUCUUUUCUAAUUUCAAGUCAAACUACUUCUCCACAUUGAAACUACCUAUAGAUCAUGGGUUUGAAAAUUUGAAAAUCGAAUUUCAGUAGGAAGCUUGAGUCAUAUCUUAAAUUGUGCCAAAUCUGGGGCAUUAUGAAGUUGGGUUCAGACUUCAGACUUGUCUACCUUUACUCAGCUUUACCUUAAUUCUAAAUGCAUUAGGUUUACUGAUUCGUUUCUAAUUUAAAGUUUGAAUCAGCUCUGAAACUACUUGUAAAUCAUGAAUUUGAAACUUGAAAAUUGAAUUUGAGUAGGAAGCUUGAGUCAUUACUAAAAUUGUGCCAAAUUUGGGCACUUUAAAGCUGUGUUCAGACUUCAGACUUGUCUAUCUUUUCUCAUCUUUACCGCGAAGUGUGUGCUGUAUUGUAUCUCCAAUAAGAGUUCAUCUUAUGAGCAAAAAGUAGAUUUUAUUGAAAUUAUCUAAUUGGUUUUGUUCAGUUCCUUCGGUUACAUCCUGUUGAAAUGUAAGUUACAGUAUGGAAACAACAAACUCACUAGAACUACAUUAUCAUAUUUAAAUAUGGAAAAUAUGCCGCACCAUGCCUUCCAGAGAAGUCCACAUAAAUAACCGUAAGUUAGAUUUUUCUACAAAGUAUCUUUUUGGUAGUGCAGUGCGAAAAAGAUGUGUAUAAUCUGACUAUCAGAGUGUCAAUUGUUCUGCUUGAUACAACAAACUUUGGUGAAGAAAUUCACAACAUAUCAAGAGAGUUGUAACCUGUAAGAUGUCAAAUAUUUGGCUAUCGACACUAUGAUUUUUAGUAGCAAUGACUGUAAUUGCUCACUGUGGUGCUUGGCUAUUUUUAGCUGAAGUUGAUUAUGUACAAUAUAAUCUCAGUUCCUCUCUUUUUGGUUUUACAUCUAGGCCCUUGUUGAAUGUGAUGGAGACUCUAUAGACUUGAGCGGAGAUAUUGGAGCUGUUGGACGAAUUGUAAUUUCAGAUGGUCCUGCAGGGAACCAAGAAUUGCUAUUAGACCUAAAAGGUAGCUUUUAAGAACUUUAACAUCUUCAAGUUUGUUAUGCAGCUAAAUGUCAAUAUGCUCAAUUUUAGUCUUGAAUUUUUUUUUCUUUGCUUUUCUUUUUUUUGGAACUUGAAAUUCUAAUAAAGUACAAGUUUUAUCGCAUUAGUGAGGAAAGAAGUGUAUUCUUGUCAGACUAGUAUGCUGAUAACUUAUAUAAUAUUAAUAUCUAUUAAUAUCUAUGAUCAGUUCUUUCAUGGUUUCUUGAUUUUGCAGAAAUAAACAUUAAAGAAAAUGAAGGUCUAAGUUUUAAUUUCUGUUAUGUUUCUCGGAGGAGAUUGAUCUUGUGCUAGAUUGAUCUUGUGCCUACUCUGUCAGCUAAGGUCUAAAUCUUUGCUUGUAGUGAACAUACUGUUACCAUUUUAGAUCUGGCAAGUUUUGGUGUCAUUCUAAAGUCUAAACUUUGGGGAUGGAUGAAUAUGAAUUGAGCCUCUUUCUCUUUCUCUAUUUAUUAUUUUUUUAAUAGAAUCCUAGCUGGUGCUUGACUAGUGAAUUUUAGGUCUAAGGCCAUUGCUUUGGAAAGCUAGGCCCAUGCCUGGUUAUUACAAGUCAGUCGAGAGGGUCAAUAACCAUUUGACACCACAUAAAUAUUUUGAGUUUGCUUGCAUGUAUUCAGUUUGGCCUUUUAUUCCUAUCUGGAGCAUGGCUUUAUUCUGCUGGUUGAUCUUAUUUCUCCAUGCUUCCUUGCUUAGUCUAGAAAAAAUAGAACAUAGAGCAAGAUGGAAAUAGUAUAUUAAGAGUGCAGGUUGUUCAUUUUUCAAUGCAGGUCAUUAAUUUUUUCCUUUUACAUGAGACAUAUAUAAACUCACUUAAAAAUUGUGAAUUUUUUAAUUCUAGAUAUUUCUAAUAGUUUAGAUAUCAUCAAAAUAGGCAUCCUCACUAUUAUGCCUUUAGUGCAACAGAGUACUGCAACAUGACCAGUUUCUGCAUAAAUAAUAGCUAUAACUUUCUCAUUUGCUAACUUGGUGACUUGUGGAUAAUUUUCCUUUUAAGAAGAUGAUUCCUUCGAAUGUGUGCUUUGACUUCUUAGAGUUAUCUUUUUUGAUUCUCUUUCUUAUUUCCACUUUGUUUUGACCUCUUGAAAUUCUUAUGUAUUACUUACCUAUAUUUUCUUUCAAUGGGCUUAUUAGUUCCUAUCACUUUUGUACUUGUAGUUAAUGAUUUUCUUUCUGUUUCUGUUGGUGGAACAGGCACAAUAUAUAAAUCAACUAUAGUUCCUUCACGAACAUUUUGUGUAGUAUGUUAUUCGUCCACCUUGAGACCAUUUAUUUCUUGCUUCUUAGAUCAUUAUCUUUCCUAGAUUUGUUUAUGGCGGUAUUUCUGUAUGCAGGUUAGCGUGGGACAAUCAGAUGCAAAGGUCUGUCAGCCUAAAUCUCAGUCUAAGAGUUGUUAAGUUCUCUACCUGUGCUCCCUUUUAGGAUACAAGUUCUGUUAUGAAAAUAGAUCAAAUUUAAAAUCGUCUUCCGUAUCUAUGAACAUGUAGUUUGCUUACGAUUUCUUUCAUUAUUUUUCACGUUAUAAUUGGUUUUAAUGAUUCGUUACUUUUCUCCCUUUUCUUGGCAGAUUAUUGUCUGAUAAUAAUUAGUAUUCUGUUCUCAUUUAUGACUUAGUCGUAAUUAAUACUUUUGUUUAUUAUUUGCAUUGAUUUGGCAAUAUUUGUUUUAAAAGUAGGUAUUUUUCCAGUGAUUUUGCUUGGAACUCUUGCAGUUAUAUCUAACUAUAUUUUCAGAAUUUUCUUUUCUGAAGUUAUUCACAUAAUUAGUGAUUUUAAAUGGUGACUGUGCAGAUAGAAGCUAUCAUGAAUGAUUUCAUUCAAUUGGAGCCCCAAUCUAAUGUGUUUGAAGCUGAGACAAUGAUUGAAGGUUCCUAUUCUUUGCCCCCUUUUACGUCAUUGUUCAAACAGUUUGGAUUUACGGGAGCUAAUUUUCUAGAACAGAUUAAUUGAAUUCUACUCAUUCGCCCUUGAUUUCCAAAAUUUGUCUGUAAUGCUCGAAUUCCUUAAGCCAAGCUUAUUGACUUUUCGGGUAGUAAUACUUUAGAAAUAUCUUAGUUCUUUUACAAGUAUUUGUACUAGGGCUAUUAGCUGAGCAGUUGCUUAACUUCAUCAUGCAGAGAAUUGCUAAUUCUGAUUAGUUGUUUGACUUUGCUCUUAUGAUGUUCACAGCCAUUGCCUUUUGAAAAUCACAAAGCAGACUUGUCCGUUGUCCCAUUACCCCUUGGGUCUCUUGGCAUUUGAUUGUUAAUGCAGUUUGCUGCUUGACAAACAUCAGCUGACAGCCAUGUCUUUAUUUAUAACAAGGAUUUAAGUGCCGUGACACGGAGUCGUGCCAGAAACUUGCUGGCACGGUGUAUGCCAAGCCGUGCCGAUGCGUGUCAAUCACAAAAAUUUUCUGUGUGCUGACACAUAAUAGUAUGUUAGCAACAAAAUAGUCUAACUGUUUAUUAUGUAUUUUUAUCAAAUCUUUUGAAUUUUAUUGAGAAAAUUACUUACUAAUUUAAAGAAUAGUGGAUUUUGAGCUGUGCCAUCGGCACGAGGGCUGUAUCGUGUCGAUAUCUUGUUGGCACGAUACGGCACGGUAGAUUUGAUGGACGCUUAAAUCCUUGGUUCAUAACAAUGCAAUUUACAUUUAUGAAGCUAAAAUUUGGAUAACUUCCUUGUAUACUAGUGUAAUGGCCCGCGCUUCGCGGCGGGAGCUAAUAAUGCGGGAAGCUAAUAAGAUGAUUAUUUUAUUAUAUUUAUUUAUUAAGAAAUAUAGAGAUACAUAUAACAUUAACAUUAUGUAAGAUAACUAAAUACAUAAGACAUAAUCUAAUAUGAUACAAUGUCAUUUAUAAUGCAAAUAUAAUUGGUAAAACAGUUUCCAGAUUAUGGCCUACCUGUUCCACUUGAUUUCUUGCCGAUGUUAAUCUUGCCCGGCCCUUCCCCAGCUUUCGAACUGCAUAAGUAUGAACAAUAUCUCACAUAUAUACGGUUACUGCAAACAUGUUGGUUUAUCAUUAAGUCUGAGUGCAUUGCAAGCAUAGAGACUUACUGAUAUUUUUUUCUUUAUCUGGUCAAGUCAGCAGUUCUCGGCGUGUAUCAUGUUGGUUUAUCAUGUUGGUUUUUAGAGUUUAUGUUCAUCUCCGAAUUCAAGUAUGUCACGGCUAUUGCAAACAUGGCAUUCAAUUUCAGUACUAAUUCCAAAUACAUUAAAGUGCUGGACUUUUUUCCCACAUUAAACAUACCUUGAUCAAAAUAGUAAGGCAUUUUCUUAUCAUUUUAGAUAAAGGCAUCGAAAUAUAAACAUAGAGCAAGAACAGAAAACUUUGGAGAAAACGUAAUUUUCGUAACCAAUUAUUAAUUUAUUUUAAUUAAGGGAGUAAUGGAAAAUAAAAUGCAUCUAACAUAAAGAGACGAAAAGACUGUAAUUAAUUAGUCACAUUAUUAAACUGUUUUAAAAAUUUACCUAUGAAGUCAGCAAAAUUUAAGAAAGAUUAAAUUCAGAAAAUUCUGCACAAAAAUUUGAUGACUGAUAAUUAAUUAACUUUAAGUAAGCAAGUCAGGCAAGAAGAAACAAAAAAAAAAAAAAAAGUUACACAUUUAAUUUUUUUUAUUUAUCUAAGUUUAUCGUUCUAGUAUAGAAAGAAACAUAUUUGUUUAGCCUAAAAUAUUAAUUUAUGUAUUUUUAUACCAUCAAGAAGUACACUCUAUGAGAGUAUACAUCAACAUAGUUUUACCUUACCUUACGAAAGUAGAAGAUAUGGACCCCAAAUUAUUCUAGAAAAAAUACAUCGAUAUGACUGGCUGGAUUUAUAUCAUUUUGGAUCCUCCUCACAAAAUUACGAGAUAGAGCCAAGGGAAAUUACUCCUCCUUCCUAAAGUAAAUGGGUCCUAAUAACUCUAGUAGAAGUUGUAAGUGUAUAUAUAUAGCAAAUUGGAGAAUAUUCUAUAUCAUGGUUGAUGUUGAAAGACAAAUAGGUAGAGACAAAAUUAAAGGUUCAUGCACCCUGUGUUUGAUGUUAAACAAUAUUACUAUAUAUAGAAAAAGUUGGGGAGGAUGCAUGCAUCGUAAUGAUAAGAAAGAAAGCAAAAGGACAAGGAAUAUUCUAGUACUAUGGGAAAUCUUGUUUAAUGCACCCUGAGUUUGAUGUUAAACAACAUUGCUAUAUAUAGAAAAUGUUGGGGAGGAUGCAUGCAUCGGAAUGAUAAAAAAGAAGCAAAAGGACAAGGAAUAUUCUGUAAGAGAAAAGUUUAUUUUGUGUGCAAGAUACUAUUUUUAUUGGACUUAGAGAAGUAAAAGGCAAUUUACAAAUAAUUCAUGGUGAAAUUGGAGUGAAAACAGAAGAUUUAGAAUUUUCUGUAAGGAACGGAGCUUUUUUUUAGCAGAGAAUUCAUAGUGUCAGAAAAUUAUGAAAAUUUGAAAAUAUGUCGGAAUUAUUUUUCUGAGGGGUUAAUUACACCAAUUGUCCCUAACCUUUACACUUUUUCAAUUUGGUCCCUAACCUGUUUUUUUUGCAAUCAAGUCUCUAAUCUCUUGAUUUCAUUUCAAUUAAGUCCCAGCUGUUAGAUAGCUGUCAAAAUUGACGGAAAAUGCCACGUUAGUGCCACAGAGGCGUCAUGUCAGUGCCACGGAGGCGUUGUAUUAGCGCCACGGUGGCGUUGUGUCAGCGGAUUGCAAAAAAAAAGGUUAGGGACCAAAUUGAAAAACGGUGCAAAGGUUAGGGACCAAUGGUGAAUUAACCCAUUAAAAUUAUAAAUUCAAAAAAAAAUUUAAUUUAAGAUUUAAAUUUUAAAUUUAAAUUUUGAUUUUGGAUUCAAAUUUAAAUUGGAAUUCAAAUUCGGAUUUUGUAUUUAUUUUAAAUUUUAAAUUUUAAAUUCAAAUUCACAUUUGGAAUUCUAAAUUCUAAUUUAAUUUCAAACUUUGAUUUGAAAUUUCAAAUUCAAAAUGUGAAGUUUAAAUUCAAAUUUAGAAUUGAAAUCAAAUCUUAAAUUCAUAUUUAAAUUUUGAGUUCAAAUUUAAAAUUUAAAAUCAAAAAUUUGAAUAUGAUUUUAAAUUUAAAUUUGGACUUUAAAUUUAAAUUUCGGUUUCAAAACUUUCAUUUUAAAUGUAAAUUGAAAUAUCAAAAUCAAAAUCAAAAUUUUAAGUUUGAAUUCAAAAUUUAGAUUAAAUUUAAAAUUUAAAUUUAAAAUUUGAAUUUCAAUUCAAAAUUUUAACUCAGCUUUAAAUUCAAAUUCAAAAUUCUAAUUUCUCGUUAGUUUAAAAUUUUAAUUUUAAUAUUAUUUUUGAAUUUAAAUUUAAAAUUUUGAAUUUUUAUUUUUAGGGACUAAAAUGAAAAACGUGCAAAGUUUAGGGACCUAAAUUAACAUGCAAAAAGGUGCCAAAUAGGCGCUGACGUGGCGAUUUCGUUAAUUUUAAUAGUUUUUUAAUGGUUGGGACGUAAUUAUAAUAAAAUCAAGAGAUUAGGGACUCAAUUGCAAAAAAAAAAAGGUUGGGGACUCAAGUGAAAAUUGCUGCGAAGGUUGGGGACUACCGGUGUAAUUAACCCUUUUUCUGAGGCUGGAUUUAAAGUUUCGUGUCAUUCGGACACUUGGAAAGUAGAAACGGAACAUAACAAUAAUUUGAUAAAGAUUUUAGUUGGUAGACCUUUCGGUGACAAAAAAUGAUUCAAAACUGAAAAAUUAAGAUCACGUUCUUCUGAUUGAUUUUAACUGAGUUUGACUUUCAAAUUUGAGCGUAAACGGACAUUCGGAAGGGCUCCAAUUAAAAGUAUCAGAUUCUGAACUGGACUAAACUGUAAGUUGUAGUUGUUGGGGGGCCUAUAUGUAAGCCCACACCAUCUCUCCCUGGUUUUGCCCAACAUGUGUGAGAGUGGAGAAGAUUCUCUUUCUCUUUCUCUCCCACACACACCUACAACAUGAGAGCUUCUCUCUCUUUCUCUCAAACCCUCUACAUUUUCGCUUUAGGUAGGCUUAAAUUUUCAAACCAGUAGCACAUUAAUGGAUUAAGUAAACUAAAUAUUCCAUUGUUAGUGGUUAAGUCAAUUAUUUUUGUGAGUAAAUUUAAUAAUUUUUAAGCUUUCAUGAUUUCUAGGUCGGUUUUGCUGAAUUAUUGGAAUGAAUUCUGACAAACCAAUUUAGUUGCGUAAAUAUAAAUAUUUUCGAAAUAUGAAAGUAAUGUGCUAGUAUUACAAUUAGCCAACUAAAAUUACCUAAUCCAAUUUAGUUAGAUAAAUAUUGGGCCCAAAAUUAAGCUACUUACACCACAGCAAAUUUUCUUAGACUUGAAAGCUGAAAUGUGGUAAAUAUAUGUUGCUAAAUUACACUGCAGGGCCUUAAAUUAGAAAUUUAGAUGCAAUUCGCUAUCAAAUUUUAAUCUACCAUAUUUCCUAGGUUGGUUAAACUAUUAUAAUAUGACAGAUAACGACUUAAGGCAUACAAUUGCAGACAGUUGUGUAAUUAUUGAUAUUUUAUGUAAAAAAAUAAAAGUUAUGCAAAUCGCUCGUACGUUUUAUUUUUUCUACCCAAAAUUUGAAUUCCAUUGUAUGCUUAAUUAUUGAAGUUGUUUGGUUAAAUGGCGAAUUAUUAGCGAUGAUAUUAUCAGUUCAAAAAAAUCGAGUUUAUCUCUGAGUCCGAGUGCAGUGCAAACACAGAGACAUAAUGUUUUUUUUUUUAUUUAUCUGGUCAAGUUAGCAGUUCUGAGCAUGCAUCAUGUAGGUUCUUGAAGUCUAAGUUCAUAAUUGAAUUCAAACCCGCACGGCUACUGCAAACAUGGCAUCCAAUUUCUAUCCCAACUAUGCCGAUCUAGAAAUUUUUUCUUUCAAAUAAGAUCACUCUAUAAUUUACUGCACAAAUUCAAUUUGAUGAUAAGAAAGAAAGCAAAAGGACAAGGAAUAUUCUAUGUACUAUGGGAAAUUUUGUAAGAGAAAAGUUUAUCUUGUGUGUGAGAUAUUAUUUUUAUUGGACUUAGAGAAGUAAAAGGCAAUUUAGAAAUGAUUCACGGUGAAAUUGGAAUGAAAACAGGAGAUUUAGAAUUUUCUGUAAGGAACGGAGCUUUUUUUUAGCAGAAAAUUCAGUGUCAGAAAAUUUGAAAAUUUGAGAGUAUGUCGGAAUUAUUUUUCUGAGGCUAGAUUAAAGUUUCAUGUCAUUCGGACAUUCGGAAAGUGGAAACGGAACAUAACAACAAUCUGAUAAAGAUUUUAGUUGGUAGACCUUUUGGUGGCCAAAAUUGAUUCAAAACUGAAAAAUUAAGAUCACGUUCUUCUGAUUGAUUUUAACUGAGCUUGACUUUCAAAUUUGAGCGUAAACGGACAUUCAGAAGGGCUCCAACUAAAAGUAUUAGAUUCUGAACUGGACUAAACUGUAAGUUGUAGUUGUUGGGGGGCCUAUAUGUAAGCCCACAUCAUCUCUCCCUUGUUUUGCCCAACACGUGUGAGAGUGGAGAAGAUUCUUUCUCUCUUUCUCUCCCACACACACCCACAACAUGAGAGCUUCUCUUUCUUUCUCUCAAACCCUCUACAUUUUCGGUUUAGGUAGGUUUGAAUUUUCAAACCAGCAGCACAUUAAUGGAUUAAGUAAACUAAAUAUUCUAUUGUUAGUGGUUAAGUAAAUUAUUUUUUUGAGUCAAUUUAAUAAUUUCUAAGCUUUCAUGAUUUCUAGGUCGGUUUUGCUGAAUUAUUGGAAUGAAUUCUGACAAACCAAUUUAGUUGCGUAAAUAUAAAUAUUUUCGAAAUAUGAAAGUAAUGUGCUAGUAUUACAAUUAGCCAACUAAAAUUACCUAAUCCAAUUUAGUUAGAUAAAUAUUGGGCCCAAAAUUAAGUUACUUAACUCACACCACAGCAAAUUUUCUUAGACUUGAAAGCUGGAAUGUGGUAAAUAUAUGUUGCUAAAUUAUACUGCAGAGCCUUAAAUUAGAAAUUUCAACGCAAUUCGCUAUCAAAUUUUAAUCUACCAUAUUUCCUAGAUUGGUUUUAUAAACUAUUAUAAUAUGACAGAUAACGACUUAAGGCAUACAGUUGCAGACAGUUGUAUAAUUAUUAAUAUUUUAUGUAAAAAAAAAAAGUUAUGCAAAUUGCUCGUACGUUUUAUUUUUUCUACCCAAAAUUUGAAUUCCAUUGUAUGCUUAAUUAUUGAAGUUGUUUGGUUAAAUGGCGAAUUAUUAGCGAUGAUAUUAUCGGUUCAAAAAAAUCGAGUUUAUCUCUGAGUCUGAGUGCAGUGCAAACACAGAGACAUAAUAUAUAUAUAUAUUUUUAUUUAUCUAGUCAAGUUAGCAGUUCUGAGCAUGCAUCAUGUUGGUUCUUGAAGUUUAAGUUCAUAUUUGAUUUUUCCUUCCUGAAUUCCUUUGUGUGUGCGUGUCUUGGGUUAGGUAAAAAUGUAGAGAGAGCGGAAGGAGAGAUGACAAUUUUAAUUGGAGAGCAAAUACAUGCCCUCUGGACAAGAGGCCAUGUGAGCACAUGUGUGCGUGUGUUGGGAUGGAAAGAAAUGUAGAGAGAGGGGGAAGAGAGAGGGGAUGUAAAAUAGGCAAGUACAUGGCCUAUGGAUAUUGAGUCCAUGUGGGACCAUGUUAAAGGGAAGAGAGGCCAUGUGAGAGAGAGAAAAUUCAUAUGAAAAAAUGGCGACGUGGCUCGAUGGAGGUACGUCGUUUGUUUUCUCCUUAAGUAUAGAGUUUAAUAUCACGAUUUGUGCUUUUUCGGAUUUAAUAAUCAAGACCUACUUAUUACCCCCUGAUUUAUUAGAAAAUCAUUCCCUUUACCCUCUUAGAGGAGAGUAAGCUACUAAUAUUUUAUAGUUUUAGGGGUUUGUUUGUAGGUUUUGAUUCUCCAUUGGGGACGGGGUCAAAUUGCAAUAUAGUCACUGGGGUUAUAUGUAGGGGUGAAAACGGUUGAAUACGGUCGGAUUUUGACAAAAUCAUAUUUAUAUCCAUAUUUUCUUUCGGAUGCGAAUUCGGAUCCGGUUUUGUAUCGGAUGCUAAAUUUUCAUUACCAUAUCCGCUAAAAACGGAUUCGUAUUCGGAUAUGGAUCAUAUUUGUAUUCGGAUAUUAUUUCAAUAAUAAUAUAUACUAAUAUGUAUGAAUUAGCGUGAAUAAGAUACAAUGCAACUAAAGUUCUAUACUCGUGUUCAAAUUUGAUGCCUAUAUUUUAUUCAAUAAAAUCUAACAAGAUUAAAUGCAAUUUUAGCAUGAAACUUAUAAUAAAAUAAACGAAGAACACGACAGAAAACCACCUUUAUCUCCCUACAAUUUAUAUUAACAUUGCCCCUUAUCUCAUAGGGGUGAAAUGGUCGAAUAUGGUAGGAUUUUUGACAAAACCAUAUUCGUAUCCAUAUUUUUUUUUUCGGAUGCGAAUUCGGAUGUCCGAAUUUGUGUCUGAUGCUAAAUUUUGACAUCCGUAUUCGCAUCCUAUUGAAUCCUGUGUUGGAUUUGAUCGAGGUUUUUCUUAACCACUUUCACUCCUAGUUAUAUGCCUUUAGAGAUGGUAAAGUUGUAUCUUACUUGUUUUGGUCAUGAAUUGCUUAUGCAAAUAGCUCAUUAUUUUUUUCAUUUAUUUGUUCUUUAUCCUUUUUUCUGUCCCUUUCAACUUUCAAGGGAGAGAAUGUAUUUCUAUGAUGUUAUUUCAUGCCUAUCAAGUAGAUGAUGGCUAAUCGUUGUUUGCGGUACCUCUUGAUUGUGCAUGUUUCUGUUCAAAAUUCUUUUAUUUUACAAAUAGUUCCUAAUCCUAUGGAGUUGCUAUUUAAGCUCCACAUAUGCUCAUAAAAAUCGAUUAUUUGAAUUUAUUAGGUUUAAUUUUGGGUAAAUUGAACUACUGGUCCCUGCACUUUAGUCAAGUUUCGCUUUAAUCCUUUUUUUUACUUUUAAUUUGGACAUUUGGCAUUCCAAACUUUUAGAAAUGCUUUACAUAGUCCUUGCCUUAAGAGGAAAAUUUAUUGCCCACAUAUACAUCCAUGCACUAGAAUCUGUUAAUCCUCCAUCCAUCUGAUAGUUUAGUCCAACCAUCAAAGUUUAAAAUAGAGAAAAGGCUGCAUAUCAAGUUAUCAACUGAUGGCAGAUGUUGGGAUCGAGGGUUGAUGUACAGCAGUAUUGAUGUACAAAUGCACUGGUUGCAGAUUAUAAUUCUUCCUCUAACAUUUUCAAAAGUUUGGGUUAUCAAGCGUCCAACUUAAAAGUUCGGGGACCAAAAUAAAUCUUUGCUAAAUUUUGUGGACUAGUAGUGCAAUUAUCCUUUAUUUUAGGUAAACUUGAUCAUGUUGUUGGGUUCGCUGAUAAAAUCGUACUUCAAUAUAUGUUAGGAACUGUUUUUUUUCUGCACCAAAGUUUGCCGUACACUGGCAUGAGGCUUUCAGUGUCCCACUGGCACGGCAUAGCAUGUCGGCAUGCUUCGGCACAGAUCUUCUUUUAUAUGUUGGCACAAGUAGCAAAGCAGCACAUGCCUACUGCCACAGAAAUUCUUGAUCUGCACAAAUAAAUAAUUAGAUUUUACGUUAUUUCGGAUGAUCUUUUUUUAUACAUGUCUUGGUUUCCUGAAUGCUUCUAUAUUUUUAUGUAUCAACCGCUAUAAUUAUAUGAUUAUACAUUGUAGUUAUCUUUGAGUAGGUACACUUGAGGGAUUUUCAUUUGAUUCGGAUGAGGAGGCUGACAAAGUGCCAAAGUCGUCUGGCCUUCAAAACGAUCAAAACAAUGAAAAUGGAGAUCAACCCAAUAACACGAAGACCAAAAGGAAAGCUGAUAAAUCAUCGGUAUGUUUUGAAGCCCAUCCAUAGUUUUGCUGAUCGUCUUAUUUCCUUGUGAAAUUCUUUGAGGGGGCAUUGAAAAAGUAAAUCUUUAGAUGUUUCUGAAAAACUUUAUCCUUUGGAAUUUGUCGUGAUCGGCCCUUUCUUUCUGGUUUAUAAGUUUCUUAAAAAUUAUCUUCAGGAAUCGAACAUCAAGUCUCUUAAUUGGUAAAUAAAUAGGAAUGAUGGUACGUGCCGACAUAUGGUUACUUUUUAAUGCUGCUUCUUGCUUCUAGUUUAUGUAAUGUUGAAAUAUCAAAUGCAUAAUGAUUAUAGUUUGGCUAUUCAAUAAUGCACAAUAUUUUUUUUUUUAAUUCUUUUAAAGACUUGAUGUGGUUAAAAUUUUUUGAGAUACUUCUACAUAUAAACAGAUUGAAACCAGCAGGUCUAUAAUGACAUAGAAUUUAACAGCUACUGACUUUUGAUAAGGUAAAAAAUGCUCCCCUAUUCCGCCGUGGAAAAACUAUUAUUUCUUUUAUGUAAAAUGUAUAAAACUUGCCUGAACUAUAGACUAUUUUGAUUCGACUACCCAACAUUUCAAAAUUUUAAUUAUAGUACACAACCUUUCAAUUUGUUUGAUUUAAGUAAUUUGAUGGCUCUUCAAAUGCAAAAUUUAACCCGACUGCUUAUUUUAAUGAAUUUAUAGUUACGUAAUUUGUAUAAAAUAUACUAAAUAAACCCGUAAAGAUAAACGGUGCUUUCAAAUUUUGACUUUAAAAAGUCACUAAUUGGCUCAAAUCAAAUAAAUUAAAAGGUCAGGUAGUAAAAUCAAAAUUUUUGAAGGUUCGGUAGUCGGAUCCAAAUGGGUGAUAGUUGAGUUAAUGUUUAAACAUUUUUACCUUUCUUUCAUCUUGAAAAUUAGGGUGGAGGUCUUUCGGAAUUUUCCUUUGGGUAAUGAUUACUUUGAAUUCCAGUCUUUUGUGUCUGAGGGAAUUGCUUCUAUUUGGCCAUGAAAGUUUUUAUUGACUUAUUCUUAGAUGCUUAUGAAUGAAUUUUCACCAUUAGGUCACUAUAACAGUUUAUUAAGGUCGAUUUAAAAGAAAAAUACCACUGCUCAUGGUGACUAACAGUGAAUGAAACAUGCAGGGUCCGGUGCAUAAGAAGGCAAAAAAAGUGGAAAGACCAUCAACUAAAAAAGCAGUAAAGAAACAUCAAGCUGUGAAGAGAACAAAGAAGUCGAAGAAAUGAGACUUUCACAUGGUUUUUAAUCAUGCAUCUUAUUUCGAUCAUUAGAGGAAAACAUUCGGUUCGGUUUCUUUCUACCAUUUAUUCUUCGACGGUCCGCAAUUAUUGCUAGUGUAUUACACCGUGUAUCGUAUCUGUAUCAUAUCUUUCUUUUCACUGAAUUAUAUAUUCUAGUAGUAUUACAUUGUUUAUAUAUCAUCUUGACAAUCAGUGACUCAGAAUCUUUGAUAUUUAGUCAUCUUGACAAUCAAUGACUCAUAAUCUUUGAUAUUUAGUCAAAAAGCAUUAGUUGCUUCCGCUUUGUAAUCGUGUCUGACGUUUUGAAACUUCCUUUCUUCCCAUCAUCAUAGAAAAAAAUACCUUCCAAUAUUUGCGGUGAGCGCAUGCGGUUGUAUGUUUAUUGCAGUUCUUAUAUAUGUAUAUUUUUUCCAAGUAUGGGACAUUGAAACUUCCUGUUCCCUCUGCCUAUUGCUCUCUCUUAUUCAGAUAUUGUUUUCUUUAAUUCUUCAGAAUAAAGUCUGCGAAAAGUAAUUCUUUUACUUACAAGGAAUUGCCAAGACAGCAUCCGUCAUGAACUGAUCCUAUCAAACUCAAUUCUAGGCGGCUUCAAUGUUAGAGGUUGUUUGGUUGCAUGCAGAUGCUAUUUCAUUGCCGAGUUAAUUGUAUGCAAAUUCAAAUACGGUAUUCGAAUACAGAAUUCAAUUGUUGCAGUUUAAAUUGUAUCCAAAUUGGUUGUAGUUCUAUCCACUGCAAUUAUCGAACAGUUGAAUCACUCAAAAAAAAAAAAAAAAGUUUAAAAAGAUAUCUUCAAGCUACCGAACUACUUAUUUGGCCCCCAAAUCAGUCGAUGUUCCAACAACAUCUUCUUAAAGGACUAUAUAUCCAAAACAAGCCUUCUCUAGUCAGUUCUCCGAAAUUGCAUAAUUUUAGUUAAUGAGAAUGCAUUGUUCCACCACAACCCUUAGAAUAAAAGACAAGAUGUUAAUGAAAUGGUGUUGGAAACGGGCUUUUUUUGCAAAUAGACCCCUGACAAAAUUUUAUUUUAAAAUUAGCCCUAUCAAAUUUGAAAUUGCAAAAAUGAUCCUACUCCUGCCAGCAGGCGUUACGUCAGCGCCACGCGGGCAAGCUGGGGCCAGGUAUGUAAGUUGAACACAGUGAACCAUUCACCGUGUUCAAACACGGUGAAUGGUUCACCGUGUUCAAUUUAAACAACCUGGCCCCCGCCAAGCCCAGGGCGUGGCGCUGACGUGGCGCCCGCGUGACUGGCCCAGGGCCAUUUUUGCAAUUUAAAUUUUGACAGGAUCAUUUUUGAAAUAAAAUUUGUCCAGGGGGCUAAUUGCAAAAAAAAACCCGUUGGAAACCUUCUGCUGGAGAAGCAUCAAGCAAGACGCUUCUUCCAUGGAGGUUCCUACCGACAUUUUGUAGCGCUGAAGGAGUGGAGCUUUCAAUAUAUAAAUAUAUAUAUUUUUUAAGCUCUAAAGCAUUAAAUUGAUUGCAUUUUAUUACUCACUCCCAUACAAGGACCGAGCCAUUGGCAUAAUGUCACGGCCUUAGCAUUUUUACUCGCAAAGUCCGUGCAACGUCUGCUUUCCUCCUCAAAAAUAGACAAGCCUAACUCGCUAUUGCUAAUCUAGACCUCCAUGCCCUACGACUAAAUAUGCAAAAAGUGACUACAUAUGCAAAAACGAGAAAAAAGAGAGAGAGAGUGAUUCCCAAAAAAUUAAAUACUCCGCCUAUUUAGAAAAAUAGAACUACAAUACACAACUACUCUUCUUGUUUCCUCCUUAGCCUUAGCCAACCCUCUAUUUAUUGAUACAAAAUAUAUUGAACCUAGCCUAUAAUAAUUCACCCACUAAGCAUAUAUUAACUCUCUCACUAUCACAUAGUAAAAUAACUCUCAUGAACGUAAGGUGAUCUUAAAGGUUGCGCGUGACUUUUUCUCGAUAGUUUUGGAGCCUUUAUAUCCAGCAAUUACAUAUCCUUUUAUUUCCCACAAUGGCUGCUGGUUUGAGUCUCUUUGACAGCCCGUUCAGCUAGCGAAGUUGCUAUGCUAGGGACUUGGCCGAGCUGAAAUUUUCCUACGUCCCUGACAAUAAGGUACGCAAAGCAUAUUUACAGUCCAAACAUGAUAUCGAACUCAUAAUGGUGUUUUCAGAUCUUCCUCUGCACAAACAUUUUACUGCAAGGUUAGCGAGCGUUUACAAACCUCUACACAAUAACAACUAAAUAUACAUGAACCUCAGCAGGUUUUCGACAAAGCGCAGCACACGGCAAAAAACAAGAAUUUAUUGCGCGUCUCAUUGCCCGGUCACCAGCAUCUCUAAGGACAAACAAAUUGUAUGCAAGAGAGAGGCAUUCAUAAACCCACAACCCAAAAUAAUCUAAAAGUUCACUUCACAAUUUACCUAUUUCGAGAUGAGAAAAGGAUGUGCAUUUAUAGACAAACAAAGGAAAGAAUUAGAGUAUGUCUUAUUUAAAAAAAGAAAUUUAAAAUUGUUUUAAUGUCAGAUCAAACUAGAAGUGCCUUGGAGAGGAGGAGCGCCGCUCUGGGGUGAAAACCCUGUGAAUGGAUCGCUGAACGGAUUGGCCGGUGCAACGGCCUGGGGAUGUUGAGGGUAGUUAGGUUGAUGAUAAGGAUGCGGCGUCAUGUUCAUCGUCAUCGUCAUGUCAUGUUGCUGUUGAGCCAUCAUAGACAUCUGUACGUUGGUCGGAGGUGCAAUGCUAUUGGACAUCGCGAACGGGUCGUGCGGCUCGAAAGGAUUGGUGGCGGCCGGGCCACCAUAUGUUGCUGUGGUUUGUUGUCUUCUUGCACCAUCGUCGUAUAAGCUAUCAAGCAGAAGCUUAUCGAAGCCACCAGCCUAGUUGGACGAAAAGGCCAAACAUUAUCAAGACAGUUAAAACUAUACUAAUGAGUCAAACAGAAAAAGAAAUCCUUCUUACUACCCAACAAAGAGAGAGAGAGAGAGAGAGAGAGAGAGAGAGAGAGAGAGAGAGAGAGACUUUGAAAAACUCUUAGGACCAACCUGCUGCUUCAGUUACAUGACCAUGUCGCACAAUAUCAAAUGGUUAAUGCACAGCUUUGAACGACAGUUGCAUUCUUUGCCCGAUGAAAAAUUUUGGAUCACUUCUUAUGGUCUAGGAAUUUUGACUACUCAGUUGAUUCAACACCACUCCACUACAUGAGCAUUUCAGAAUGUAAAUUUCUUCCUUGAAAUUCAGAGAAAGAAAGACUACAUCCAGAAACUGUAUCUCAACCAUUCAAAAUUGUACACUGUUGUCCUGAUUUUUUUCCCUAAAAGUUGAAAAGUGGGCAAAGGUUUCAAAAUGAAAGUGCUUAAUUUUUCUUGCAAAUACAAAGUUAUAUACUUCUUCUAUUCCAAUAAAAGGCCAAUGUUAUAAGAAAUGGAGGAAAAAUGGAAAGGAGGUUACUUUAAAAAGACAUUUCAUCACGUAUUUUCUUCCUAUGCAAUGUGCUAAAAGGUACCAAAAUGGGCCAUUCCGAGACUACUCUGUAUUUGUUCCUAAGGAAUUCGGUUCUAUGGGUUCCAAUACCAAAUUUAAUGCUUCAUGCUCGUAUAAUCUAGCUACUACAUUUUUGAAAUACUUUUCAUAAAUUUAGCAGCGUUUCGUCAUUUAGAUUAAUAAUAAAUACUCGUAUGCAGAAAUCUGCUUCUAACAUCUACUUUAUUGACACGUAUGUAUCGUAGAUAAUAGAAUUAGGUAAUCACUUAAUACCGCUCCUCUGUUCGAGGGCAGAGAUGACUUUGAGAACUUCUUCUUUGAGAGGAAGAUCAUCACAUUCUCCUUAAGAUAUUAUGAUCUACAAAAUAAACCCCUACUUCUCUCAUACUUCACAGUGAAAAGAGGAGAGGAUCCAUUUAUAAUUCAUGCCCUUUAACGAGAUCAACCAAAUAAACUCACCAACAAGAGGAGAAAGGCAGAAACAAAAGAGAUAGACAUAAACUAGAAGACCAGUUUCGGUGACUAGCUGAUUGUAGAUAGGAGCUCUUGGGUUUCAAACAUUCAAAGAGGACGCCCAACCAGUCGACCGGGUUAGUCCACCUCUAGCCAGGAAUGUUCGUGUGAUAAACUCACCUAUAAAGUAGCAAGUUGGUUUAAUAAGUUAAAGGUUUUUUAGAACAAAAUACACUACAAGUCGUCCCAAAAAGUCGCAAGAAAAUGGCACUUGUUGGCCUGUAAGGUUGAAAUUUGCUCUUUGUACAAAUUACUGCAACUUUCAAGAUAUCAGCAGGUGAAGUAUCAGAACAUUAUGUUGUAGUGAAACUAAAAAAAAAAGGAAAAAAAAAGUCAAUCAAGCGUACCAGUUUGCUCUCAGUCAAUUGGUUAUUGUUGUUACUUGCUGACGACACUAAAGCUAAUUCCCAACCAGAAGAAUCAGUUGCACCACCAAAAAAGCCACUGGUACUAGCUGCUUUGGAACUGUCCCCUGCAAACAACAUGUUGCACUUAAUAGUUAAUACCAACAUUAAAUGAGCUCAUCACUGAUACACCAACUAUCCGAAGAAACAGAAGGUUCUAAAGCUUCUAGUUUCUUGGCAUAUUGAAUUAAAAAAGCAAAAAUGCUCAGUAGAAUUUCAGAUAGACUUUAAAAAAAGCAAGACUUUAGAUUUCAAGUGAAUAUUUCAAGAAUAUAAAUGUAUUAUUAACUACAGAAUCACCUGAUGGAAUGAUAGCCAGAGCCAGUGCAUUACUUUCUUCAAGUUCAGCAGCAACAGGGUUUAUUUCGUCCAAACCCUGCAUGAUCACACACAAGAUGAAUUUAUUUCUAUAUGAUAAAAAGUCCAAAUAGUGAGAAAUAGAUGAAGGAUAAAAUACUCACCAACAGAUCAGCUGUUGUUGCAGUUUGAGCUGCAAUCUCAACUGUAGUAGUAGGCUGUGGUUGUUCUUCGGGCUCAACAAGUGUAGGUUUUUCAUCUUCAAUUGUAGGUUCUUUUAUACUCUCUACAGGAGGAAGAGGAGAUGAUUCUUCUUCCUGUGUCACUAAGUUACUCUUCUGAUAUUCCUGUUUCAACAGAAUUUAGUCCGAUAAACACUUGAAUUUUAUUCUAUGCUACACAGAACCAACAACUGACCGACCCAAAACGUAUGUAUGAAGAGUUACGAGAUGCAUAGAAGUUUUAAAUUACCCACACCCCCUAAGAAAAAAAGCAAGUCCACUCUGUAAGGACUCCACAUUGGCAAGAGUUAAAAGACUCGGGAGAAGGAUAUAAAUGUCUUUCUGUACAUUUUUACGAAUUUCUAACAGGUUACAAAUAAAAUAUUCACAUCUUCCACGAGAAAAGGAAUUCUUAUAUGCUAAAUUGUAUUCGACCAAAAGUUCAUUUGUUUAUUACAGAAGUCAUAAUUCCAAAAACAAAAUACAAAUCAUUGACCACUUACUACGCUGGGCUAUAGUCAAGAUGAACAUAAAUAUGCACAAUAUACUGACACAAUUUCGAUAGACAGCAGGAAGAAAUAGAGCUGGUAGCAGGGAAAACUCCUUCAACCCCUUUUUGCAAUCCGUUAAUGUCAAACUAUGCACAAAUACAUAUUCAUGGUUUACUGAAAAUCAAGAAGGUACAAAUCCAGUGAAUAACUUAUUAGUCCAAAACAUAUUCACUUGUAUAGAUUAACCUAUAUAUAGAAGUGCAAUAGCAAUUUAGGCGCCCAACAUGCACGUGAUAACUAUAACACUGAGAAGUCUUUUUGCAGAGUGACUUUUAAAUCACAAGCCAUUUAAUCAUUUCUAAAGAAAAUAUAUACCAGUGAAGGCUCCAAAUGCAUCUAGCACAAGGAUGCUUACGAUGCUAACUUUCAUGCUUAAAUCAACAUUUGUUCAAAUUCUAUUACUCACAAUGGCCUUAUUUGAUACAGAGCCGGUUCGAGGUGCUUCUCUUAUGUAUUCUUCCAUCGUUGCGAGAAAUGAUGGAGGCGGCUGAAGAAAGUCAGCAUGGAAAAAAAAGAACAUCAAUUUUCGAAUAAGAAUGUAACAAAUUUAUUCUAUCAAUUCAAAUGCGAAUAACCACAAUGCUAGACCUCUUUAAGAAUUGGAAACUGGAAGUUCCUAGCAAGCUCCAAACCUCUGCAGAACUCAUAGAAGUCAGAAAGACUUUUUGCCUGUUGAAUAAACAGAUCUUCAGCACCCAGAAAAUUGAAAAAGAAACAGUUGGCAACAUAAUUCAGCAAAACCUCUCAACAAGAAUAUUUCCUGCCAGAAGAGACAUACCAGAUGGCCAGCUCUUUUGUAGAUGUCAAGAGCUUUAAUAGCAUCAAGUCUUGACAUGUCAAAGAACUGCAGUAUAUUAGUACUUAGUUAAGAGAAAAUCUACAGUGAUGGGAAAACUGGAAGAAAGAAGAAGGUCAUGGAGGUACCAUAUCGACAAUAUUGAUAAUCCCAUCGUUAAUUGCACAAUAGAUUUUGAAGCUCUCCUUUAAAACCUGAGUAAAAGGAGCAAUUCUAAGUACCCUGUUGUUUUUAUAGGAAUAAAAAUAACUUCACGACAAUCAAUUUCUUCAAGGAUAAAAGGAUUAAUGACAUGUGUGUGUUUAAUGAGGAGAAAUAGACUCCAAGAUAAAAUGGAUUUGUUUUCAAAUGCAGUCAGGCGGGACAUAUUAUUGAAUCAUCAUCAACAAUUGCUGAACUACAGGUUCAUCCAUGAAAAACUCAAGAUGUAAAAUAACCAAACAAUCAUAUGAAACCUGGCUAUUACGUUGACAGCAUUUGCAAAACUAAUAUAAACAAUACCAUCACUUUCCUGUAUAACUGGGGAAAAUUAAGCAGAGUUAUCACUACUAGAUAUUUGCCUUUAUACAUCAUUUUUUCUUCCAUCUCUGAGAGUAACAAAAGGAAGAGUUUUUUGUCAAUGGGUGAACAGAUUUAAUAAACUUUUAUACACUAAGGCGACUAGUGUUAAUAAAAGAAGUUAAACAACGGAAUUAAAAAAAUCUAUAGAACAUAUAAAUAAAUUAACCAGCACAGUAUUAACUGGGAAAGAGUAUUGAACAGAAAACAUCAUAAUAUCCAGUGCAAGUAUAGCCAAGAAUAAGCAGUAGUAAUCCUUGUUUGCGCAUGACAAUUACUAACAUUCCUAUUCAUGCAACUCCAGUGAGAAUGACAAUCAUGAUGAACUUGGAUGAUAUAGUAACUGUUUAUGACUAGUAUAACGGUUAAACUAAUAGAGCAUAUGGCUUUGAUUAAAGAAUCAAGCUACUUCACGCAUUACAUUUUACAAGGCAACAAAGCUUGUUAGCAAAUAAAGUAUGUUUUCAUUAACAACAAAACAUUACAGGUUACUGACAAAGGCCAAAAGUUUACAACUAUCACAAGCAAAAUAAUGCUUAUGAAAAGAUGAUGCAUUUUUUACCAUUUAAAUACUACAUAACUAUACAGGCUCAGACCUAAUAAAAGGGAGAGAGUAAUAAUGUUCUUUGAGACACGGUAAGUUCGCAACCAAUAAGAUGGAACAUAGCAGGACAAGAGGACAUACCAGAGCUAGUGCAUAUUGUACAAGAUAGUUCCCAAAAGCAGCUCCUUCAGGCUGCAAUAUUCAAAUAAGUCAGCAAGCAAGCUAUUAUCCAGAAAACAAAAAACUAAUCAAUGACCAGAAAACAAAAGACUAGUCAAUGACCAGAAAACAAAAGACUAAUCAAUGGGAAGUUUCACUAGUUUAUUUCUUUAAGAGACUCACCAUCAACCAAUAAAAGGAACAGAAAGUGGAAGUGGCAAUUUACUACCUGGCAGCCAACGAGGCGGAAAAGCAACUGCUGCAAUGCAGGCAGCUGUUCUAGAAGAUCCUCACAACUUAAAUGCCUUGUCCUACUAUGCCCCUUAAAAUUUCAUGAAAAUAAAAGAAAAGAGAAAUAAAUAAAGAGAAGAUCAGCAAUAGCUCCAUCAAACAAACUUUUUGAAAGUGAAGAAACACACCUUAGAAGACCCUUCUGUGGGUUUCGCUAAUCGUUCUGCUUCAAUAUCAUAUUUUAAGACCCUAAAGCACUCAAGUCGUUCCUCCAAGAAUAGUGCAUAUGUGCGAACCCAUGCAGAGCAAUCCCAAGCUAGAAGAAAAUUCUAAACAAUUCAGAAAUAUGAAUUUCAAGAUAAUUUACUUGCUAAACCUGCCUAUACUGCAGAGAAAACUGUGAAAGAACUUUUGCUGCAAAAUUUCAGCAGACAACCCUACCUUGAGGACUAGAGUCAUCCUUGAAAUUGGAUAUCUGCAAAACAUGUCCCUUGUGUGAAUAGUUUAAUAGGUCCUCUCUAAAUGUCGGAUCACCCUCUCUCAAUAUCCUGUGUAUAACUAUCAAUGUUUUAAGAGCAACCUGUAGAUAUGUAAUCGACAUAAUCAUAUCUGAAAGAUGGAUAAAAUCAACAAACACUGUAAGAGCAUUAAAUAUCAAUAAAAUACACAAAGCAGUAUUGUACUUUUAUAAUUGAUAAUAAACAAGUUUUUUCAACAUUGUGACCUUAUAGGCCUAUUUGGAUGCGUAGAUCGCUCGUUCGGUUUAUGUUUUCUGUGUACUCGAGAGACAUUUGGUAAUUGGUUGGUGGGAAGAUGGAAAGAUGUCUGCAACUGUCAUGUUAUAUACAGCCUCUACAUCAUUCUAAAAUUAUGAGAUGAUAAAUCAUCUCAUAGGUGGAAUGUACUUCCCUGGAAAUUUGGAAUUGUUAAGAUUUCACAACAGCUAAAAAGAUAAAAAUCUUAGGCCAUAAUCACAUGAGAAAUCUCCGUAAGGCACAAGUAUUCCAGCAUAGCCUGGUUCAACAUCCAAAUCAGUCCUAUAUGUUCCAUAGUUGUCAAUCAGUUCUAGUAUGAAUUAUAGGCACUUCUCGUCAAAACAUCACCCCAGAACAAGCAACUUUGAUUAAAACAAAUAAUGGUCUGUUUUGAUUCAUGCUUUCUGCUACAAUAUUUGCUCCCUAGAAAAGAGGAAAUACACCUUUAUAGUCAAAUUAGUGGUGCAAAUGAGUCAUGAAAGAAAAGAUAUAAUACCCUAAUCAUAACAAAUAUUUGAGGACUAAGGGAAGUCUAAUGCCAACACCCUUACAGGAAAUUGAAGAUUUUCAUCUUUGUGUGAUGUAAAUCAAUACUUAAGAAACCAAAUGAGAAACAAGAUGGACAAUCAAAAUAUCAAUGAAAAGCGGCACCAGGUUAGUUAAAUGCGAGUAUUCUUGUUUGCAAAAAUCCAAAUAACUUAUUGCAGUAAAUUUUGCCAUACUAAAAUUCCCUCAAGUAAUGACUUGAUCGAAGCAAAAUUGAGCAGAUUAUAUAAGAACAUUGGCCAAUCCAAACUUAUCUUAACAAACUAGAAAAUUCAAUAUUUCCAAUCAGAUCCAAAUUAUUUUCAACUAGUAACAACUUUACAUUGUACAAAUUGUGCUAGUAACAACAAUCAGCAAACAUCUUUGCUCUCAGUACGUUGAAGAUGGGAUUGAACUUGACUAAGAAAGAUUUGAUACAAAGAUAAACACCUAGUAAAGUGACCAAAUCGUAAAGUCAACUCACUGCGACAAUAUAAGCAAUAAAGAGAUAGAUUGAUAGAGAAACAUACCACCCAGUUAUGAGUCUUAGCUAAUCUCCUCGCAAGCGUGUGCACGCAAUAAGAAACAUCCGUUCGUGGACGGGAGGCUGAGGUAGCAGCAAAUAACUCUGGACCGCACACAACAUGCAGAAAUUAACAAAUUUAGACAACUUAAUCCAGUUACACCAAAUGAGAAACAGCAAAAUAAUUCCUUACCCUACAUUCAAUAACUCAAAGUACAACAUCAAUCGAACUAACCCGUAAAAGAACUCAACUCAUAACCAAUGAAUUCUUGUUUAAUCACCGCAGCAAAAGAUCAAAACACAACCAAUUGUAUAUGAUUGUAAACAAACUUCCACAAAUCAUUGCCAACCCUAAAGAAAUCAAUGAAAUAACAGCAAAUUCUACUCAAAGCGCUACUCACUUCUAAUGUGCCGCUCCUUCGGCGGCCGCUCCACGUGGUUCGUGGCCUUCACUACAGCGAUAUCCAGAUCCUACUAGCAUCAAAAACAUAGUCAAAAGAGAGAGAAGGAUCGGAGAAGGGAGAGAAAGGGAGAGAGGGAGGGGAUCGGACCUUGAAUUCGCUGUUGACCUUGGCGAGGCUGACGGUGGUGGAGUCCUUGAUGGCGCCGUAGGCCUUGCGCCAGCUCUGGAGCGUCCCCAUUGCCCACCUCAAAACCCUAGCCCUAACCCUAACCCUAACCCUUAGCGACGGGGACGAAGAAGAGGAGGCGGAGGAGGGGAUCGCGGCGGUGAUCGUCACCGCCGCGAGGGGUUUUAUUUCGAAACUUCGUUAUUCUCCCUUCGCCUCCCUCCGUCGUUCGCUCUGCGUAGAGAAUUAAUUAAUAAAGGAAAAGGGUUAAUUUCAUAUACGUCCCUGUAAACAUCACAAAUUAUAAAUAUGUCCCUAUAAAGUUUAACUUUUAUAUAUAUAUAUUUUUUUAAAUUCUGAUAUUUUUAAAUAUGUCUCCGCUAUUAGAAUCCGCUAGAAAAAAUUAGUUAAUCAUAGGUAAAAUACUUAAUAAUAAUUAAUUAAUAAGCAUUUUUAACUCUCUUCAAUUAGUAAUUCUAUAUAUUUGUAAUGACAAAAAGGUCAUUUCACUUGUAAAAUAAAUAAAGCUUUAACGAUAAUAAACCAGAGAGACAUAUUUAAAAAUAUUAUGACUUUUGUAGGGACAAUAUAUGAAAAUUGAACUUUGUAGGAAUAUAUUUAUAACACACUGUGUUUGUAAGGACGUGUAUGAAAAAAAAAAAAGAAUAAAAUUUAUAGAUGGAUAGUCCCUGUCCUAUCCUGAUAUUAGGAUUCGGUCCCUGUUCUAUUUUUUUUGCUUGGAGUGUUAAUUGCGACAUUGAUCCCUAACCUUUACCCAUAUUUCCACUCGCUGCCUUAAAUAUUUUACUAUUGUUGAAUCUUAAUCAUUCAAGUACUUUAUUAAUUUUGACGGAACAUCUAUUGUUAUCGUUUAGUAGGUCCCGUCAAUAUUUUCAAAUCUAUUUACUCACCGUUUGGUACAGAUAUAAGCAAGAACUAGCUAUUACAGAGAUAGAUACAAAUAUGGGGAUAAGAAAAAUAGCAUUUUGAUAAAAAUUUGGUUGUUUCCGGGAAUAAAAAAAUAGCAUUUGUAUAGAUAAUAUGGAAUAAGAAAAAUAAUGGGUGGUUAUAUAUAAAAAUUGAAGGUGUUGGUGGAAAUAGUUAUACUAAAUUAUUUUAAGUACCUAAGAAUUACUAUUUUCGGAUAAAAAAAUUAGUGUUUGGAUAUAAAAGAUUAUUCCACCCCUUAUUCCCAAUCCAAACAUGUUAAAGAAAAAUUAUUUAAAUUUUCAAUUGAUUGCGCACAGUUUCAAAAAAAAAAAUAUAUAUAUAUAUAUUCAUGUCGAGAGUUCCAAGGCAUUUUCUUCAAGUAAAAUAUAGUCAUUUUAUUAAAAGGGUGGAAAGCAAUUACAUAUUUUUUAAAAAAUUCUAAUUUUUUCUAGGGUAAACUACAAAUUAUUUUUCUAUAAUUUAGCUCAUUUUUACUCUGUCACCUUGCGAUUUGAAAAUUUUCAACUUACUUUCUUGCGAUUUAAUUUUUAUUUUACAAAAAAAAAAUUAUAUAAAAUAGAAUGACAGAGUAAGAUUUUUUUUUUAAACUACAGAAUAGCAAAGUGAAAAAUAUAGUAAACUAUAGUGGGAUAAACUAUAAAGUAAAACUUAUUGAACCACAAGGUGGCAAAGUGAAAAUAAAUUAAACAAUAAGGGGGAGGGGGCAAAGUGAAAUUUUUUGGACCAUAAGGUGUGGUUACUACUAUUUUUUUUCACCUGUAUAUAUUUUCGGUUAUAAUUUGUUUAUAAUUAUAUUGAACUAAACGACUUCGAAGUAGAAUAGCGUAAGUAAUAAAAAUAGGCUAAAAUAUAGAAAAACUCUCUGUAAAUACUGUUUUUUCUCUUUUACUUUUUCUCUUGACUUUCAAAAAUUUAGAUUUUGCCCUCUUAAUAUUUUAGAAAUAUUUUUAGAGAAUUAUAGCGUUAAUGGAGAGGACAAAUUAAUCAAAUUAUCUUUACUUAUUUUAUAAGAAAAAAAAUAAUUUUUUUAGUAUGUUUUUGUUAUUUUUAAAGAUAUUUUUAAGAUAAAUUAUAAGAAAUAGAUAAAAUAGUGAUGGAAUCUUGAUGAAGGGGGAGCUGAAUAUAUUAACUAAAAAUUUGGAGAGGGUAAAAUAUGAUUUUUUGUAAGUAAGAAAAAAGUGAAAAGUAAAUAUUUACAGAAUUUUAUUUUUUGUAUUUUAGCUAAAAAAAAAGAAUUAAAAAAUACCACUAACAAAAAUGGACCUUUUUCAAAAUGACCCUGUAAAAUACUGUAAUUGGGCUAAUAAUCCUAAAAAAAAUUAAAUUUGGCAAAAGGAGGGUUAGUUUGCCAAAUUUAAAUUUUGUAGGGUUAUUAAUCCAAUUACGGUAUUUUACAGGGUCAUUUGAAAAAAAGUCCAACAAAAACAGUGUAAAGGAUCUCUUCUUAAAUCGCACAUAGUUGAGGGGUCUCUGUGCAUGUUUUAUCAACUUAAAUGCACCAAACAAAAUUUUUUUUUUUUUUCAGUGAGUUUUAUUAGACUUUUUAGUCGCAUAAAAAAUAUUAUCCGGGAUCGUACAAAACGGAAACAGUGGAUUUCGCGGGAUUUAGCUCUGCAGUGGUUAUGCUGAGCUGUAACUAGGUGGCCAAUCGUCUACUUCCACGUGGCACAACUUGAUUGGAUGACGUUUUUUUUUUUUGCUUAGUUAUGAAAACUCCGCAUAUUGCUCCGUGUCAAAAAUACUUUUUAUAUAAAAAAAAUUUAGGAACAAUUGCUUAUUGCUUCAUGCAAAGAUAUUAACUAGCUAAUAUAUCCUCAUAAAACUUAAGUUGGUAGAUUUAUCCUCCUAAAAAAAAUUUUCGUUUAUAAAUAUAAUUUUCUGUUAAUAAAAUUUAGAUAACUAUGAGGUAAAAAAACUAACCAAAUUAGCUAAGCGGUAAAAUAACCUUUUUUUUAUCCUUUAUAUAUAUAUAUAUAUAUAUAUAUAUAUAUAUAUAUAUAUAUAUAUAGAGUUGAGUUAGAUAGUAUCGACAGUAAACGAGCCGUUUUACUAUCGAUUUGUUUUCGAUGAUAGAGCUUCCAAAUUGACGAUCGGCUCCGUUAAUAUGAUCUAAACCAUUAAAACUAUCUAGAAUCAAAAUUCACGCACUUUCGAUAUUGUUCUUUAUCCAUCAAGUGAACAAAAAAAUAAAUGGUUGAAAAAUAAUAUUCUUUAAAAAUGAUGAUAGGAGUCUGUAAUCAAGAUCAAGAGUAUAGAUCUUGUUCUAAAUAGUUUAAAGAAUUUUCUAACAAAAUUCAAUUGAUUUGGAUAUCUUUACGUCGUUAAACGAGAAAACGCCUCUUAUCGACCAUUAAAAUUAUAAUUUUGAAACUCUUUGAUCAUUAGGCAAAUAAUGUCGAAAAGAUUUAAAAUUUGAUUUCUAAAACACUUCAAGUGUAAGAUCAUGUUCAAUGGAGCCGAUCGUCAAUUUGGAAGCUCUAUCCAUCGAAAAUAGGUAGUAAAACGGCUCGUUACUACUGAUAGUAUUCUAGCAAAACUCUAAUAUAUAUGAAUUGAGCUCCUAUACUUUGAAAAGUACCAGUCACUGUUACUUGUAGUUUUCGGCCCUUGGAUUUAAGGGAUGUGCGUUUAGGAUGAUGUGGGUCCUCUAGGGUUGAGUGGGUAGUUGGUUGAAUAGUAUAAUCUAACGGUUGAAAAUAAUUAAAGACGUAGAUCUAACGGUAAAAAUUUACAAGUACAAGUGCUUGGUGCUUUUACAAGCACCAUAGGCGGGACUCUAUAUAUAUUAUAUAUAUAAAUAUAUAAUAAUAUAAAUAUAUAUAUAUAUAUAUAUAUAGUAGGCCUCCGUGCUCCUAAGCCGAUCGUCGAUUAGAGAACCGAUCGUCGAUUCAGAUACUUCAUAAUCGAAAACGGCUUAGGAGCACGGAGGCCUCCGUGCUCCUAAUAGCACACAAGAAUCUACUCUAUAAAUAAUCAUAUAUAUAUAUAUAUAUAUCAUAAUAAUAUAUAUAUGUAUAUAUAUAUACAUACAUAUAUAUAUAUAUGUAUACAUAUAUAUAUAUAAUAUAUAUUACAUAUAUAUUAUAUGUAUAUAUAUGUAUAACAUAAUAUAUAUAUGUAUACAUAUAUAUACAUAUACAUAUAUAUGUAUACAUAUAUGUAUAAUACAUAUAUAUGUAUAUAUAUAUAUAUAUAUAUCAUAUAUGUAUGUAUAUAUAUAUACAUACAUAUAUGUAUAUAUAUAGUAUAUACAUAUAUAUGUAUAUAUACAUAUAUUGUAUGUAUAUAUAUAUAAUACAUAUAUACAUAUAUGUAUACAUAUAAUAUAUAUACAUAUAUAUAUAGUAUACAUUAUAUAUGUAUACAUAUGAUGUAUGUAUACAUAUAUACUAUGUAUACAUUAUACUAUAUAUAAUAUAUGUAUAUAUUAUAUUAAUAUAUAUGUAUAUAUAUAUACAUAUAUAUGUAUAUAUACAUAUACAUAUAUGUAUAUAUAUAUAUACAUAUAUACAUAUAUAUGUAUACAUAUAUUGUUAUUACAUAUAUGUAUAUAUUAUAUAUACAUAUUAUAUAUAUAUGUAUACAUACAUAUAUGUAUCAAUAUAUAUGUAUACAUAUAUAUAAUGAUACAUAUAUAUACAUUUAUAUUAUGUAUACAUAUAUAUAUAUAUAUAUAUAUGUAUACAUAAUAUAUAUAUAUAUAGUUGAGCUAGAAUACUAUCGAUAGUAAACGAGUUAUUUUACUACCGAUUUGUUUCGAUGAAAGAGCUUCCAGAUUGACGACCGCUCCCGUUAAAUAUGAUCUAAACCAUUAAACUAAGUAGAAAUAAAAUUUCUCGCACUUAUAUACUAUCUCAACUCUAUAUAUAGAGUUGAGCUAGAAUACUAUCGAUAGUAAACGAGCCGUUUUACUACCGAUUUGUUUUCGAUGAUAGAUUCCAAAUUGACGAUCGGCUCCGUUAAAUAUGAUCUAAACCAUUUAAACUACCUAGAAAUCAAAUUUUACGCACUUUUCGAUAUUGUUCUUUUAUCCAUCAAGUGAACAGAAAAUGAAGGCUAAAAAUGAAUAUUUUUUAAAAAAUAAUGAUAGGAGUCUUGUAAUCAAGAUCAAGAGUAUAAGAUCUUGUUUUAAAUAGUUUAAAGAAUUUUCUAACAAAAAUUCAACUGAUUUGGAUAUCUUUACACCGUAACGAGAAAACGCCUCUUUUCGACCAUUAAAAUUACAAAAUUUGAAACUCUUUGUCAUUAGGAAAAUGAUGUUGAAAGAUUUGAAAUUUGAUUUCUAAACACUUCAAGUGGUAUAGAUCAUGUCAACGGAGCCGAUCGUCAAUUUGGAAGCUCCAUCAUCAAAACAAAUAGGUAGUAAAACGGCUUGUUUACUACCGAUAGUAUUCUAGCAGAACUCCUAUAUUAUUAUAUAUAAUAUAUAUUAUAUAUAUAUAUAUAUAAGUACAUCACUCGUACUUUCGAAAGUACGAAAACCUCCGUACUUGUAAGUUAUUUCUAUGAUAGGAAUCCGAUUUGACGAUCGCUUCGUUAAGUAUAAUCUAUCAUAUUGGAAUGUUUAGUAACCAAAUUUUAUAAUUUUUUGACAUCAUUUACCAAGCGAUCAAAAGGUCUCAAAAUAUGACUAUUUUAAUAGCGCGAUGUGGCCAACGUUUUAAGUUCAACGGUGUAGAAGUAUCCAAAUUAGAUAAAAAUUUAAUAGAAAAUUCAACUUAACAUCAAUAGCAAGAUGAAUACUUUCAAUUUAAAAUUUGAGUCAUUUAUCACUAUUUUUUAUGAGAUUUUUAUUUUCAGCCGUUCAUUUUAAAACUACUCGUUCACUAGACAAACGAAGCCAAAAAAUUAUGAAAUUUGGUUUCUAGAUAGUUCCAAUAGCGUAGAUCAUGUUUAACGGAAUCGAUCGUUGAAUCGGAAAUCCUAUCAUCGAAAACGAUUUAUAAGUACGGAGGCCUCCGUACUUUCGAAAGCAUAGGAGCCUAGCUNGAGCCUCUCUCUCUCUCUCUCUCUCUCUCUCUAUAUAAUAAUAAUACUAAUAAUAAUAAUAAUAAAUAUUAUGUAUUGUAAUUAAAUGUAUAUAGAGUUUAGGUAAAACCAAACCAAUAAAAUCUUACUCUAGUUGCUCUCUAUUUUCAUUUGCUCGCAGAGUGGUUUCCCCUAUUUCUUUAAUAUUAUAAUAUCGUAUCUCAUACAUUUUAUUUUGUAUAUUGAAUUAUUAGACAUUUUUUUAAUCAAAUUUUAGAUAAUAUUUUAUAAAAAUUAAACUAUAGAUUACACGAUGUUAAGAAUUACAAGCGGCUCGUUUAGGGCUAGAGCUCGCUCGACUCGAAGUUAGGCUCGCUCAAGCUCGGCUCGAAUUGAUUUCAAGUCGAAUUUGAGCUUAAAUUUAGAUUCUCAACUCGAAGUUAGGCUCGCUCGAGCUCAGCUCAAAUUAAUUUCGAGCCGAGCUUAAGCUUAAAUUUAAAUUCGAAAUUAAUUUCAAGCCAAGCUUGAAACUGAGAUAAGCUCGCUCAGGCUCGCCUCAUUUCCACCCCUAUUGGUGAAUGGAUUCGAUGCAUGGGACUUUGAAACAUUAAUUUGGUGCAUUAAAUGAGGAUUAGCUCUUCCAUGCAACGUAGUGUUUGGCACGUUAAUGGGAGAAGGGGACCUCUUCUUCAAUGGCACAUUACUCUCUCUCUCUCUCUCUCUUUUGAUUAUAGUACUAAAAUCAAUUCACCAUACUUAGAAGCAAUAUAAAUCCACCAAGGCCUUUGACCAAACAACAUUAUAAAUUCAUCAUAUUUGAAGAUAAGUUACCUACCAACUGAAUGAUUAGCACUGCUAAUAACAACACAAAAAUCUUCGAGCGCAGCAAAUCAUCAAGAUCUUACAAUGAAUCUGAAGCAUGAACAGAAUAGUUCAGAAAAAAAAAAAGAAAAAGAAAAAACACAAGCACAAAUUUCAACACUCAAAAUUGCUCGAAUUACUUCCAUCUUUUGUUUCAUUUUUCCGCUCAGCCGUCGACACAACACCUGAGAACUGAGACGGAUACAACAUUUACUAAUGCUUAUCGCCAAAUUCCCUCCCACAAGAAAGCAAGCACAUGAAUGGUAAUAUGUUUCCAGUUUUGUUUAAUAUGCUCGCAAAUGCCAUCAAGAAAUGCACUCGUCGCUCAAAUAAAUGCAAGCGGGUGAUGCUCCGACUUGUAAAAAAGUGCAUAUUCAGAAUUACAACAUAAAUUUGUACAGAAUGCACGGCACAGCACGGCACGGCAAGAUUCAGGGUUGAUGACCACCUUCCAUCAUGAUUAUGAAUUUACGGUUUCUGCUCAGAGCUGUUGCUUCUGGCUUGGCUGUUCUGCUUGGUGUUAGCCAGGCGCGGCCUUAGCUGCAAGAAAUCCAAUGCAAUUUUAAUACGACGAACAUUUGUGCACAAAUAACUACCGAGAUGGUCUAGAAACUCUCUUAGAUAUAACUCAAAAUGUCAAGUAAAUAACAGCACAUUGAUAACAUGAGAUAUCUCCAAAGAGAGUAUCAAAUCAUAGAAUGCCACCAAAAGAAAAACAUUUUCUAUUUCUUAGUCUUCCUGUCGACAAUGAGAUGUGAAACUAUUAAGUACGAACAAACUACAAUGGUUUCUUGUUAAAUAUUUUGUUCCUAAAAUCUUUCACAUUGUGUAUCUCAUUAUUUACAUCGUUGUGCCACAAUUAACCCUCAGUUACGCAUCUUUGUCCCUCAGGUUAAGUUUAAUGAGUUCAAGGAGUAUUCCCCUAACGACAUUUGCUCCUCAACAACAAAUUAAUAUUAGGACAUUCCACGUCUGAGGCCCUACCUAAUGGAUCACAGAUACCGUUCGAAGCAUCUUCCUGAAAACUUAAACACGCCUGUCUCUCUUAAUUUCUAACUAUUUAGGACUCUUCAAAGGCAUAGGAUUGCCACUGCAUGGAAAUAGAACUCAAUAUAGGAGCUAAUUUCCUUUAAAUUAGCAAUUUGGAACUUCCAGUUUUUCCAUAAGACUUUUUUUCAGACUAAGGUAUUAGUGUUAUUAGAGGACAUACAGAUCGCUUUGAGGAGAGGAGCGUAAAAGGAAAAAUGGGAUUGGAAGAGUGGUGAUUUAGGGACGAAUAAGAACCCUAGGGGCAAAGUGGACAUUUUGCUUCUCCAACUUACACGGUUUAAAGGAUUUGACAGAAGGAUCAAUAUGCACAAAGGAAAAUGUUUUCAAGGACAAUCAUGCAAACAACAAUUUUCCAGAGAUUUACAUGCAUUAUUAAACAAUUUUAGGGAGGACUAAGUGACUAAGAUGCCAAAAAAGUAAAAGACAUUUCUCAAAUUGAAAGUUACAAGUAAUCGAAGUUUCACAACGAGCUGCUUGACUUACCAUCUCUAUGUACUUUAGAUGCUUGAGGACAACUUCAGUUUCAACCUCCUACAAUGAAAUGCAAGAACGUAUUAGGAAAGAAACAUAGUAAAAAAGUAUUAACAUGCUCACGUGUAAUCAAAAGCACAAAUACAAGAAAAAUAUAUAACAAAGUACGAGCACUAGAAAUCACAUGAGAUUUAAAAAAGAAAGCAGCUAAAACAAUAAAAAAGUAGACAUUGUACUUCCUGUCUUCUGAUGGAAAACAUUAAACUCCAAAGCAAGUAGAAUUCAAGGCUUAAGCUGUCUACAUAACAAAACAACUGAAGUCACAACAUAAAUCUCACGGAGCCUAUGGACCCAUACAAGAUGUCUCUUAAACUUUAGUUUAAUUCAUCUCGGAGUUACUUAGAUCCUACAGGACCGCCAAAUAUGAGAAUAAUCAGUUCACAAUUAACUGCCAGUAAUAACUGAAGUGCAAUUGAAAAAGAAUGAAGAAGAAAUUCCGUGCUGCUAGACAGCUUAAAUUGCUUCAAAAUUCUUUUCGACAAAAAUGUUUGAAUGGAUUUAACUAACUUUACACAUCCCCUAAAAGAUCCCAUGCUUCAUUGCCCUUACUUUGAGGUAAUCUCAAGGCAUCUCCACAACUCAACCCAGUAGACUCAAUAAGUUGUUGACUAACUUCACAAGUCACAAUUACUUUCCUGGCAACACCAGAGUUCUUCUUAAAUUAUUACAAUCCCUUUUGACAUUUAAAAUACUUGUAUCAAGAGACGUGUCAGAGGAGUGGAUAUAACAUAAACGUGCAGAAAGAACUGUAUUCCCCCAUGUAUUACGAUAAUGCCUUAUGUUAGGUUUUAAGUGUGCAGGAAAAUCAGGAUGAUGAACUAACUUACGAAAGCAUGGAUUCUUGUACUACAUAUGCCACUAGGCACGGAACAAAAAUAUAUUUCACAUGGGCGCAUCAUCUUCAAUAUUACCCCUGGCACUUAGUACUAUCUAUUUCCUUCCAGUUCUUUAGUUUUCUUGUAUAAGAUAAGCUUAGAUGGUCCUGAAAUUUCAUGCUAUUAUUUUCCCUGUUGGAAACAAGUCCCGCCUUCUUUCGCAUUCAAAAGACCUAAAAUUGCCGAGUACCAGGCAUACCACAGUAUGUAGCAUGCCAGCCAAUCAAUGGCAUGCACCCAUGCACGUCAUAGCAAACAUCAUAUACACAUUCACAUAAGUAUCUACCAGUGGUACACCUUUACCUUGGGCAAAAUGGAAUAGUUAGAUUACAUUUAGGAAAUAUGAAGAAAAUUCAACAGGAGAAAAACGUCCAAGUUAUCGCUUAACUCCUAAAGCCAACUAUCAGCUGCAAUGCUUCCCUACUGCCCUACGUAAGUACACAGAGCACUUAAUUAACAUUGAUCAGGGAAGUACACCCUUUAAUGAACAACAAGAGCAGAUGGUGCCUGAUGAAUUACAACCCAGAAGGGUUGCUAUAGAAAAAUCUACAGAUUCCAACGUUUCGAGAAACAAAGACAAGGAGAAAGCAAUGCAUUACUUAAUAAAAAUUGCCAAAAGUAUGAAACAAGAAAACUCUUGAAAAGUUUCUAGAGAUAGAAAAGAAGCCAAGCAAUGUGGUCUAGGAUAGAGUACUCUUUCGUAUAUAUUUUUUCGUAUAUAUUUUCUUUUAUACUGCAGAACUAGUAAAUAUCAGGUAUCAAUCAUGUCGUAACACACAAGACAUGAGGCAUGUCACACCAAUUGCGCUACACAGCAGGGAAUCAGAGACGUAGGAUGUGCAAACACUAGUGGUUAAAGCUUUCAUUAACAGUCAACAAUUCUGCUUAUAAAAAUUAACACAUCACUAAUUGCAAUAUAAUAACAAUAGUACCAUUUGUUCAGAUAUAUGUAAGACAAACUGAUAGAAACUGUCCAAUGAAUUAACUUGUGAUGACCAUAUUACAGCAUGAGACCAGAUAACAGCAUAUUGUUAGAACCAGUAGAACAUGUUAUUUUGAAAGUUGCAUUCAAAAUAUCAGCACAACUAAUAUGUAGCAUUACCUGAGGGACUGCACAAUCAGCAUGAAAUGGAUCCCAAGGCAAAGCACAGGAACAGUCCCAUUCAUCAGUUUGAACUACGAAAAGAGGAGCCCUAAGAAAAUGAUGUAACGUAGUUAGGUAAGAUGAGCAAUAAAGCAUGACACAUAAUUAACUUAAAAGUGAAAAGCAGCUCUUUUAUUUGAAAAGCUAACAAUGAUUAAUGCCAUCUAGUGCAUGGCUUAUGCUAUAUUUUACCUGCGCCACUUCCCACAUAUAGUUCCCUCAUUGCUGUCACUUGUAUAUAAGACGUCUUGACAUUGAAUCCAAUUACCAAUAGAUGUUGUUUUUUGUGGCUUAUAAUUAUUCCAACACUGAGGAAAAUUAUUUUUUGUAAAGAAAGUCAAUACUAGCUGGAAGCACAAACAUUUAUGUAGAAUAACUGAAAGAUAUAUUUUGUUAUUCUUACAUCCAGACUAGCACAUUCGGGUGAAUCCAGGAGGGAGAAUUCUAGAACAGAAUCGGAAUCACUGCAUUAAAUGUAUAAGAAAACAUCAAUAAGAGAAGUCACUUAAUGCGAGAAGUUCAAAUAUAUAAGAAAACAAAAGCUAAUAAAAGCCAUCUAUAUGCCAAUAACAGUUUCUCUUUAAGGACUUACUGGUCAUAGUUGAUUCAAAAGCCGUUAUGAAAUGAACAUAAAAAAUGGACAAAAAGGAAAGAAGCUUUGAAUGAAGAAGUCAUUAAUCAUUAUCUGCUCAUGCAUAAAUAAUAGGUUGAUAGCAUUGAUUGGAGUCAUGAAAGAAUCUGCUUGCCACAACCAUUAUUGUCAGAGCCACCAUAUCUCUUUCGAGCUUUGCCGAUCCUAACUUAUCGAGAAAAAACUCUAAACGAUAAUUUGAGCUUCUUCAGAAUUGUUAUAUAUAAUAGGUAAGCACAUACGGGACGAACCUGAACUAUGGCCUAUUUUGGGACAAUUAUCCAACCUUAAGUGAGUUUCGAGUUGGCUUUCUCAUUUCAAUUCGUUUGGUACGAGCCAUUAAAUGGCUCUUCUGUAAUAUAAUUUGGGCAUGCCAUCUGCUUUAGCGGACUUCAUUAUAGUAUAGCAUGUGACUCCAUCCCGUUAAAACAUAUGACACGUAGAAAUUUUGCAACAAAGAGCGAUCAAAUUAAUUGAAAGGCUAGGUAGAAAAAUCAAAUUCUUAAAGGUUGGAUAGUCAUCACAAAAUGUGUCAUAGUUCAAGUCAGUUGUUGACUCAGAUAUGUUAUACCUAAAUAAAACUAUUGCCUAUCCAUAGCAUUUAAGGCCUUCCGCUUUCUAUGUAUAUUCCCCCAUAGAUAGUUUUUCCGUGCAAUCUCCUAAUGGGUUUCAUUCAGAAAGGGUAAAGACGCUGGAACUAAUGUAACUUUGGGUCAUUUGGAACAACUUCCAGCAUUCAAAAAUUUUGAUUUAACUAUUUGAUCUUUUGAUUUGUUUGAAUUGCCUCCUGAGAAAUUAUUGCCUGCAUGUGGAGCAUCCAUACAUUUGCCCAUCAAGUAUACAUCUAUCGUUGAUGCAUCUCUGGCUUUUAAUCCAGCCAUUCAAUUAUUAAAUAUAGAAAACUACAACUCAUUGAAAUGAGGUUAGGCAUCAAAUGGGCAUCAAAUGGGCAUCAAAUUGGCUGGAUGCUGAUGAAGGUUUGGUACACAUGUAUGGAUCACUUUGUGCAGGAAAUAGUUUCUUAGAGCUCCAAAUCAAACAAAUUGAAAGGUUAGGUAGUAAAGUAAAAAUUUUCCACAGUUGAGUAGUUCUUUCAAAAUCCCAAAGUUCAUGUUAGUGACGUGUGUUUUUUACCUUCUUAAAUUUCCUUUGCACAUGUGCAAAGCAAUCAAAUUCCAAGUACCUCUUUAAUCUACCUUUGCAAUCGCAGCUGGGUAGUUUCAUUACUCCAAAAGCUCAUUCCUUAGUCUACCGGUAUGAAAUUGAUUUUAUGCUAAAGAUUGUCCCCUAGAACCAAAAAGUCUCACCUCAAAAAAAGUCCCGUGAGGCAGUUUCUAAUAUUUAAAUCAGUUUAAACUGACAAAAACUAACAAUUAUGACAAAUAAAAGAAAAAUAAAAACAAGGCAAAGCAACAAUUUUUGGUGCAUUUAGCGAUAUGGAUAUAUUGCUUUAGCCAAAAUUGUUUCACAAUUUGGUGGUUUGGGAGUGAAUAUUUAGUUUUCAAGGUAGUUUAAGUCUACAGAUCCAUGGUAAAAUCAAGUCUAGAAGGACUGUUAAAAAUCAAAUCUGAUGAUCAGAAGUCCAAAAUAUUGAAGCAUAGGGUAUGUCCACCCUAGUUAUGACUUAAAUAACACAGAUACUAUCAAUCUCCUUGUAUUCUAGAAGAUACUAUUGAGCUUGGGGUGAAAUCUCCAUUUUUGCAAUAAAACUAUGGGGCCUAAAAGCCCUUUCAGCUUUCUGCUAGAACAAAAGCUUCAAUAUCUAUUAGCCAAAAUAUGGUUUUCGAAAACUACUUUCUAGAGUAGAGAGUUAUUCUGCAAGCCAAGCUAAACAGGCAAUUAGACUAUGAAAUAAGCUACUGAUGAAGUUUAAAAAUAAAAAGGAAAGGUCCACCAAUGCUAACUAUCACAAAACAUAGAUUGAAAUUUGCAAAGCAGAAAGAGAGGAAAUGACAGGACAUACUCAGCAAUUGGACCGGACCAUGCAGGAACUUCUACUUGGAAAGCUUUACCGAUUCGAACACGGGAUAUAUGAGGCCGGCUAUCUCUCAACAUGGCUAAAAGCGGACCCAAAUCCCCAUAAGACACAUUUUUUUCUUCCUCGGGAGUUGUGCCUGUGAUACAGGAUGAAACUGUUUCUUUACUUCUAGAACACGGUUGACAGUACCACUCAACAUUUCGUAACUUCUUGACUCUUGGGCUGCAGCAAGUGACAUGAAAUGCUUCCUCACAAAGGUCACAAAUUAACAUCUUCAAUGGAUUUUCUGAAUGACCACAAGUUUUGCAUUUUAAAAAUGAAUUUGGGUCGUCGCUUCCAAGAAAUUCUAAAGAAGCCAAUUCCUUUUUUUCACAUACACUGCCGAGCAAGCCAUGAUUUUUAAGUACUGAGAUGCAUAAUUCUCUCUCUGAAAUGAGCUCAUCCAACACUAAAUUAGCAAUAGCAUUUCCAGAAGAGGAGCACUCGCCAGUAUCCUUCACCCCAUUGUUACAUGAAGAAACAUUGGUAUUAUCUUUUGGUGAUAGGUACCUUUCAUUUUUCCCACAUUUACCUUCUACAGCAGAACAUCCAUCCUUAUCAUUAUUAGCCCUCACUGCUGAAUUUUGGUCUUUGGAAGUUAUUCUCGAAUAAUAGGCACCACUUUCUUUAGAAAAUCCGUCUGUAUUUUCUUCCGAUAAAAGGGCAACACCGUUAUACUGCAAUUUCCUUCUUUUGUAGACAAAGCCAUCCCUCUUAGGCAGUGGACUUGAUAUAUCAGAACAUGUCGACAAUUCAAGAACCUUGCAUUUAAGUAAUUGGUUUUCUUCUGUUCUAUGAUCAAGACAUUCUCUGCAGCUCUCUGAAGGGCAUUCCUCACAGCUCGAGCACAACUGCCAAGUUUUAGUAAAGUGUGGCCAAUCGUAAGAUGAAUCCAUGUUCUCUUGUUUCGUAAUGGACAACGUUGUGCUCAGAGAAUCAGGAAGAGUGCUUUCGAUCAACAUGUCACCUGAACAGAUGUCUAGCCUAGUCACCUGAACAGAUGGACAACGUUGUACUUAUUGCACGUUGAAAGGCAUAUGCUCACAUAGGCAAAUUAUAAACCUUGAUCUUGAGAAUAAACAUCCUGGAAGGAAAAACAACUACCAAAAUGAAAAUGAGUCUCGAUAAAAAGAACGUGGAGUCCAAAUAUGCAAGUGAUUAGCAAAGAUAAACAUGAAUAAUGGACUAAAUGGCCAAGAAAGAGAAGUAACAAUAGGAAACAAGUACUGCGACAAUAUUUUUUUCACGCACCUACUUUUAGGUCAUU